rnacentral:lncRNA from 1 species
CGCGUGGCCUGCCCUGGCCGGCCCUUCCUCUUCUCCCUCGUGGCCCACUAAGGCCCAAUAGCCCCCGGGAGGGUUCCGGUAACCCCCCGGUGUUCCGGUAAAAUCCCGAUUUCACCCGGAACCAUUCCGAACUCCAAAUAUAGGCUUCCAAUAUAUCAAUCUUUAUGUCUCGACCAUUUCGAGACUCCUCGUCAUGUCCGUGAUCACAUCCGGGACUCCGAACUUCUUCGGUACAUCAAAAUACACAAACUCAUAAUAUAACCGUCAUCGAAACCUUAAGCGUGCGGACCCUACGGUUCGAGAACAAUGUAGACAUGACCGAGACACGUCUCCGGUCAAUAACCAAUAGCGGGACCUGGAUGCCCAUAUUGGUUCCUACAUAUUCUACGAAGAUCUUUAUCGGUCAGACCGCAUAACAACAUACGUUGUUCCCUUUGUCAUCGGUAUGUUACUUGCCCGAGAUUCGAUCGUCGGUAUCCAAUACCUAGUUCAAUCUCGUUACCGGCAAGUCUCUUUACUCGUUUCGUAAUACAUCAUCUCACAGCUAACUCAUUAGUUGUAAUGCUUGCAAGGCUUCAGUGAUGUGUAUUACCGAGAGGGCCCAGAGAUACCUCUCCGACACUCGGAGUGACAAAACCUAAUCUCGAAAUACGCCAACCCAACAUCUGCCUUUGGAGACACCUGUAGUACUCCUUUAUAAUCACCCAGUUACGUUGUGACUUUGGUAGCACCCAAAGUGUUCCUCCGGUAAACGGGAGUUGCAUAAUCUCAUAGUUACAGGAACAUGUAUAUGUCAUGGAUAAAAGCAGUAGCAACAUACUAAACGAUCGUGUGCUAAGCUAAUGGAAUGGGUCAUGUCAAUCAGAUCAUUCUACUAAUGAUGUGACCUUGUUAAUCAAAUAACAACUCUUUGUUCAUGGUUAGGAAACAUAACCAUCUUUGAUUAACAAGCUAGUCUAGUAGAGGCAUACUAGUGACAUAUUGUUUGUCUAUGCAUUCACACAUGUAUCAUGUUUCCGGUUAAUACAAUUCUAGCAUGAAUGAUAAACAUUUAUCAUGAAAUAAGGAAAUAAAUAAUAACUUUAUUAUUGCCUCUAGGGCAUAUUUCCUUCAGUCUCCCACUUGCACUAGAGUCAAUAAUCUAGAUUACAUAGUAAUGAUUCUAACACCCAUGGAGUCUUGGUGUUGAUCAUGUUUUGCUCGUGGAAGAGGCUUAGUCAACGGGUCUGCUACAUUCAGAUCCGUAUGUAUCUUGCAAAUCUCUAUGUCUCCCACCUGGACUAAGUCCCGGAUGGAAUUGAAGCGUCUUUUGAUGUGCUUGGUGCUCUUGUGAAAUCUGGAUUCCUUCGCUAAGGCAAUUGCUCCAGUAUUGUCACAGAAGAUUUUCAUUGGACCCGAUGCACUAGGUAUGACACCUAGAUCGGAUAUGAACUCCUUCAUCCAGACUCCUUCAUUAGCUGCUUCCGAAGCUGCUAUGUACUCCGCUUCACAUGUAGAUCCCGCUACGACGCUUUGUUUAGAACUGCACCAACUGACAGCUCCUCCGUUUAGUGUAAAUACGUAUCCGGUUUGCGAUUUAGAAUCGUCCGGAUCAGUGUCAAAGCUUGCAUCAACGUAACCGUUUACGAUGAGCUCUUUGUCACCUCCAUAUACGAGAAACAUAUCCUUAGUCCUUUUCAGGUAUUUCAGGAUGUUCUUGACCGCUGUCCAGUGAUCCACUCCUGGAUUACUUUGGUACCUCCCUGCUAAGCUUAUAGCAAGACACACAUCAGGUCUGGUACACAGCAUUGCAUACAUGAUAGAGCCUAUGGCUGAAGCAUAGGGAACAUCUUUCAUUUUCUCUCUAUCUUCUGCAGUGGUCGGGCAUUGAGUCUUACUCAACUUCACACCUUGUAACACAGGCAAGAACCCUUUCUUUGCUUGAUCCAUUUUGAACUUCUUCAAAAUUUUGUCAAGGUAUGUGCUUUGUGAAAGUCCAAUUAAGCGUCUUGAUCUAUCUCUAUAGAUUUUGAUGCCCAAUAUGUAAGCAGCUUCACCGAGGUCUUUCAUUGAAAAACUCUCAUUCAAGUAUCCCUUUAUGCUAUCCAGAAAUUCUAUAUCAUUUCCGAUCAGUAAUAUGUCAUCUACAUAUAAUAUCAGAAAUGCUACAGAGCUCCCACUCACUUUCUUGUAAAUACAGGCUUCCCCAAAAGUCUGUAUAAACCCAAAUGCUUUGAUCACACUAUCAAAGCGUUUAUUCCAACUCCGAGAUGCUUGCACCAGUCCAUAGAUGGAUCGCUGGAGCUUGCAUACUUUGUUAGCUCCCUUUGGAUCGAUAAAACCUUCUGGUUGCAUCAUAUACAACUCUUCUUCCAGAAAUCCAUUCAGGAAUGCAGUCUUUACAUCCAUUUGCCAAAUUUCAUAAUCAUAAAAUGCGGCAAUUGCUAACAUGAUUCGGACAGACUUAAGCAUCGCUACGGGUGAGAAGGUCUCAUCGUAGUCAAUCCCUUGAACUUGUCGAAAACCCUUUGCGACAAGUCGAGCUUUGUAGACAGUAACAUUACCGUCAGCGUCAGUCUUCUUCUUGAAGAUCCACUUGUUUUCUAUUGCUUGCCGACCCUCGGGCAAGUCAACCAAAGUUCAUACUUUGUUUUCAUACAUGGAUCUCAUCUCAGAUUUCAUGGCCUCAAGCCAUUUUGCGGAAUCUGGGCUCACCAUCGCUUCUUCAUAGUUCGCAGGUUCAUCAUGAUCUAGUAGCAUGAUUUCCAGAACAGGAUUACCGUACCACUCUGGUGCGGAUCUUACUCUGGUUGAUCUACGAGGUUCUGUAGUAACUUGAUCUGAAGUUUCAUGAUCAACAUCAUCAACUUCCUCACUAUUUGGUGUAGAUGUCUUAGAAACCGGUUUCUGCGACAAACUACUUUCAAGUAAGGGAGAAGGUACAAUUACCUCAUCAAGUUCUACUUUCCUCCCACUCACUUCUUUCGAGAGAAACUCCUUCUCUAGAAAGGAUCCAUUCUUGGCAACAAAUGUCUUGCCUUCGGAUCUGUGAUAGAAGGUGUACCCAACUGUCUCCUUUGGGUAUCCUAUGAAGACACAUUUCUCCGAUUUGGGUUCGAGCUUAUCAGGUUGAAGCUUUUUCACAUAAGCAUCGCAUCCCCAAACUUUAAGAAACGACAACUUUGGUUUCUUGCUAAACCAUAGUUCAUAAGGUGUCGUCUCAACGGAUUUUGACGGUGUUCUAUUCAGUGUGAAUGCGGCCGUCUCUAGAGCAUAACUCCAAAACGAUAGCGGUAAAUCUGUAAGAGACAUCAUAGAUCGUACCAUAUCUAGUAAAGUACGAUUACGACGUUCGGACACACCAUUACGUUGUGGUGUUCCGGGUGGCGUGAGUUGCGAAACUAUUCCGCAUUGUUUCAAAUAUAGACCAAACUCGUAACUCAAAUAUUCACCUCCACGAUCAGAUCGUAGAAAUUUAAUUUUCUUAUUAUGAUGAUUUUCAACUUCACUCUGAAAUUCUUUGAACUUUUCAAAUGUUUCAGACUUAUGUUUCAUUAAGUAGAUAUACCCAUAUCUGCUUAAGUCAUCUGUGAAGGUGAGAAAAUAACGAUAUCCGCCACGAGCCUCAACAUUCAUCGGACCACAUACAUCUGUAUGUAUGAUUUCCAACAAAUCUGUUGCUCUCUCCAUAGUACCGGAGAACGGGGUUCUAGUCAUCUUGCCCAUGAGGCACGGUUCGCAAGUGCCAAGUGAUUCAUAAUCAAGUGACUCCAAAAGUCCAUCAGUAUGGAGUUUCUUCAUGCGCUUUACACCGAUAUGACCUAAACGGCAGUGCCACAAAUAAGUUGCACUAUCAUUAUCAACUCUGCAUCUUUUGGUUUCAACAUUAUGAAUAUGUGUAUCACUACUAUCGAGAUUCAUCAAAAAUAGACCACUCUUCAAGGGUGCAUGACCAUAAAAGAUAUUACUCAUAUAAAUAGAACAACCAUUAUUCUCUGAUUUAAAUGAAUAACCGUCUCGCAUCAAACAAGAUCCAGAUAUAAUGUUCAUGCUCAACGCAGGCACCAAAUAACAAUUAUUUAGGUCUAAAACUAAUCCCGAAGGUAGAUGUAGAGGUAGCGUGCCGACUGCGAUCACAUCGACUUUGGAACCAUUUCCCACGCGCAUCGUCACCUCGUCCUUUGCCAGUGUUCGCUUAAUCCGUAGUCCCUGUUUCGAGUUGCAAAUAUUAGCAACAGAACCAGUAUCAAAUACCCAGGUGCUACUGCGAGCUCUAGUAAGGUACACAUCAAUAACAUGUAUAUCACAUAUACCUUUGUUCACCUUGCCAUCCUUCUUAUCCGCCAAAUACUUGGGGCAGUUCCGCUUCCAGUGACCAGUCUGCUUGCAGUAGAAGCACUCAGUUUCAGGCUUAGGUCCAGACUUGGGUUUCUUCUCCUGAGCAGCAACUUGCCUGUUGUUCUUCUUGAAGUUCCCCUUCUUCUUCCCUUUGCCUUUCUUCUUGAAACUAGUGGUCUUAUUGACCAUCAACACUUGAUGCUCCUUCUUGAUUUCUACCUCCGCAGCCUUUAGCAUUGCGAAGAGCUCAGGUAUAGUCUUUACUAACCCUUGCAUAUUAUAGUUCAUCACGAAGCCUUUGUAGCUUGGUGGCAGUGAUUGAAGAAUUCUGUCAAUGACACAAUCAUCCGGAAGAUUAACUCCCAAUUGUGUCAAGUGAUUGUAGUACCCAGACAUUCUGAGUAUGUGAUCACUAACAGAACUAUUCUCCUCCAUCUUGCAGCUAUAGAACUUAUUGGAGACUUCAUAUCUCUCAAUCCGGGCAUUCUGUUGGAAUAUUAACUUCAACUCCUGGAACAUCUCAUAUGCUCCAUGACGUUCAAAACGUCGUUGAAGUCCCGGUUCUAAGCCGUAAAGCAUGGCACACUGAACUAUAGAGUAGUCAUCAGCUUUGCUUUGCCAGACGUUCAUAACAUCUGGUGUUGCUCCUGCAGCAGGCCUGGCACCUAGCGGUGCAUCCAGGACGUAACUCUUCUGUGCAGCAAUGAGGAUAAUCCUCAGGUUACGGACCCAGUCCGUGUAGUUGCUACCAUCAUCUUUCAACUUUGCUUUCUCAAGGAACGCAUUAAAAUUCAACGGAACAACAGCACGAGCCAUCUAUCUACAUAGACAAGCAAGAUACUAUCAGGUACUAAGUUCAUGAUAAAUUUAAGUUCAAUUAAUCAUAUUACUUAAGAACUCCCACUUAGACAGACAUCUCUCUAGUCAUCUAAGUGAUCACGUGAUCCAAAUCAACUAAACCAUAACCGAUCAUCACGUGAAAUGGAGUAGUUUUCAAUGGUGAACAUCUUAUGUUGAUCAUAUCUACUAUAUGAUUCACGCUCGACCUUUCGGUCUCCGUGUUCCGAGGCCAUAUCUGCAUAUGCUAGGCUCGUCAAGUAUAACCUGAGUAUUCUGCGUGUGCAAAACUGGCUUGCACCCGUUGUAGAUGGACGUAGAGCUUAUCACACCCGAUCAUCACGUGGUGUCUGGGCACGACGAACUUUGGCAACGGUGCAUACUCAGGGAGAACACUUCUUGAUAAUUUAGUGAGAGAUCAUCUUAUAAUGCUACCGUCACCCAAAGCAAGAUAAGAUGCAUAAAAGAUAAACAUCACAUGCAAAUCAAUAUAAGUGAUAUGAUAUGGUCAUCAUCAUCUUGUGCUUCGUGAUCUCCAUCUCUGCAGCACCACCAUGAUCACCAUCGUCACCGGCGCGACACCUUGAUCUCCAUCGCAGCAUCGUUGUCGUCUCGCCAAUCUUAUGCUUCUACGACUAUCGCUACCGCUUAGUGAUAAAGUAAAGCAUUACAGGGCGAUUGCAUUUCAUACAAUAAAGCGACAACCAUAUGGCUCCUGCCAGUUGCCGAUAACUUCGGUUACAAAACAUGAUCAUCUCAUACAAUAAAAUAUAGCAUCACGUCUUGACCAUAUCACAUCACAACAUGCCCUGCAAAAACAAGUUAGACGUCCUCUACUUUGUUGUUGCAAAUUUUACGUGGCUGCUACGGGCUUAAGCAAGAACCAAUCUCACCUACGCAUCAAAACCACAACGAUACUUCGUCAAAUAGACUCCGUUUUAACCUUCUCAAGGACCGGGCGUAGCCACACUCGGUUCAACUAAAGUGAGAGAGACAGACACCCGCCACUCACCUUUAAGCAACGAGUGCUCGUAACGGUGAAACCAGUCUCGCGUAAGCGUACGCGUAAUGUCGGUCCGGGCCGCUUCAUCUCACAAUACCGCUGAACCAAAGUAUGACAUGCUGGUAGGUAGUAUGACUUGUAUCGCCCACAACUCACUUGUGUUCUACUCGUGCAAAACAUCAAACCAUAAAAAACCUAGGCUCGGAUGCCACUGUUGGGGAACGUAGUAAUUUCAAAAAAUUUCCUACGCACACGCAAGAUCAUGGUGAUGUAUAGCAACGAGAGGGGAGAGUGUUGUCUACGUACCCUCGUAGACCGAAGCGGAAGCGAUCACAACGUAGAGGAAGUAGUCGUACGUUCUCCUCGCGAUCCGACCGAUCCCGGCGUCGUUACUCCGGCGCCCCCGAGUUCUUGACACACGUACAGCUCGAUGACGCUCCUCGGGCUCCAAUCCAGUAGAGCUUCGGGGAGGGAGAGUUUUGUCAGCACGACGGCGUGGUGACGAUCUUGAUGUACUACCGGCGCAGGGCUUCGCCUAAGCUUUGCGACGAUAUGACCGAGGUGGAAUAUGGUGGAGGGGGGCACCGCACACGGCUAAGGAACGAUCCGUAGAUCAAACUUGUGUGUCCUAGGGUGCCCCCUGCCCCCGUAUAUAAAGGAGCAAGGGGGGGGGGGGUGCGGCCGGCCCUAGAGGAGGCGCGCCGGAGGAGUCCUACUCCCACCGGGAGUAGGACUCCCCCCCCCCUUUCCUAGUUGGAGUAGGAUUGGGGGAGGGGAAGAGGGAAGGGGGGGCGCCGCCCCCCUCUCCUUGUCCUAUUCGGACUAGGGGGGGAGGGGCGCGCGGCCUGCCCUGGCCGACCCUUCCUCUUCUCCCUCGUGGCCCACUAAGGCCCAAUAGCCCCCGGGAGGGUUCCGGUAACCCCCCGGUGUUCCGGUAAAAUCCCGAUUUCACCCGGAACCAUUCCGAACUCCAAAUAUAGGCUUCCAAUAUAUCAAUCUUUAUGUCUCGACCAUUUCGAGACUCCUCGUCAUGUCCGUGAUCACAUCCGGGACUCCGAACUUCUUCGGUACAUCAAAAUACACAAACUCAUAAUAUAACCGUCAUCGAAACCUUAAGCGUGCGGACCCUACGGUUCGAGAACAAUGUAGACAUGACCGAGACACGUCUCCGGUCAAUAACCAAUAGCGGGACCUGGAUGCCCAUAUUGGUUCCUACAUAUUCUACGAAGAUCUUUAUCGGUCAGACCGCAUAACCACAUACGUUGUUCCCUUUGUCAUCGGUAUGUUACUUGCCCGAGAUUCGAUCGUAGGUAUCCAAUACCUAGUUCAAUCUCGUUACCGGCAAGUCUCUUUACUCGUUUCGUAAUACAUCAUCUCACAGCUAACUCAUUAGUUGUAAUGCUUGCAAGGCUUCAGUGAUGUGUAUUACCGAGAGGGCCCAGAGAUACCUCUCCGACAAUCGGAGUGACAAAACCUAAUCUCGAAAUACGCCAACCCAACAUCUGCCUUUGGAGACACCUGUAGUACUCCUUUAUAAUCACCCAGUUACGUUGUGACUUUGGUAGCACCCAAAGUGUUCCUCCGGUAAACGGGAGUUGCAUAAUCUCAUAGUUACAGGAACAUGUAUAUGUCAUGGAUAAAAGCAGUAGCAACAUACUAAACGAUCGUGUGCUAAGCUAAUGGAAUGGGUCAUGUCAAUCAGAUCAUUCUACUAAUGAUGUGACCUUGUUAAUCAAAUAACAACUCUUUGUUCAUGGUUAGGAAACAUAACCAUCUUUGAUUAACAAGCUAGUCUAGUAGAGGCAUACUAGUGACAUAUUGUUUGUCUAUGCAUUCACACAUGUAUCAUGUUUCCGGUUAAUACAAUUCUAGCAUGAAUGAUAAACAUUUAUCAUGAAAUAAGGAAAUAAAUAAUAACUUUAUUAUUGCCUCUAGGGCAUAUUUCCUUCAGCCGCCCCCCUGGAGAUCCCAUCUCCAGGGCCGGCGCCCCUCCUAGGGACCCUAUAUAAAGAGGGGGGAGGGAGGGCAGCCGCACCCUUGCCCCUGGCGCCUCCCUUCCCCCUUGCUACACCUCACCCUCCUGCAGACGCUUGGCGAAGCCCUGCCGGAUCCCUGAUGCAUUCACCACCACGCCGUCGUGCUGCUGGAUCUUCAUCAACCUCUCCUCCCCCCUUGCUGUAUCAAGAAGGAGGAGACCGCACCUCCAUCCACAAAUAUAGCACCCACCACCUCAAGCCCCUCAUGCGGAGGCAGCCGGCCGCCCACAGCCCGCCAGGAUCUCCUUCCUGGCUGGUCCUUCUCGACGUUGCCGCAUCCAUGGCCGAGCUCACUUCGCGCCACCAUCAGUGCCCGCACACCACCAACCUCCACCACUCCGCAACAGCUCUCAUAGAUCCAGCUAUCCAUCAUGCGCCGGCAACCAUCACCGUGAAUCGUGCCGCCAGCCACCCCGCCACCAUGGACGCCCCGGAGAUGUCCCGCUACACGCGAAGGGGAUCCGUCAAGGGGGGGGGGUGCCAGCACCCGCCACCUUCGGUGGCCGGAGAAGGCGAUCUGAGGGCCUGUCUGUUCUAGGGUUGGGGGCGCCUCCGGAGCCGCACACGCGUCUUUCGGUCAAAUGUCAUUGAGUUUUUUUCUUGAACUUCUUGUUUGUUUUCUAAGGAAGCACGAUGCCGGGGUGCUUGGUGAUCGAGAGUGGGUUGAUGUGCGAUGUGUGGUUUGCUAUUUCUCCGGACUUUUGUAGGCAUGAACAAGGGCCCGGCCUUUUGGCAAACCUUGAUAUGAUUUGCCGUUUCAUAAGUGAAAGAACUUUCUGCCCUAUGACAUGCACGUCAUACACGAACGCAAUGUGAAGUCGGUAACAUAUUAGUGGUACACGAUAUGCAACUUUGUCAAGAAGUUUUGCGGUGUGAUUCACUAAGUGGAAACAAGGUGGCCAUUGGGCUCGAAAACCAUGGAGAUGUUACUCUACAUGUUGGUUAAUUCAUCCAUUCACUCAAUGUUGCUCUGCACGUUGUAUACCUGCACACGCUGCCAUGAUGUACUACAGGACCGAGGGCAGGUCAUUCACUCAAUGUUGCUCUACAUGUUGUAUAUCUUUGCACAGGCUGCCAUGAUGUACUAUAGGACCGAGGGCAGGUCAUUCAUGAACAUACAUUGUUGGAUGAAGCUCAACCAGUUCCGACUCUAGCAUCGUUGAAUUUUGGAUAUACAAUUCCAAAAAUCUGUUGAAUACUUGGUUAUCUCGUUGAAUUUGAACUAUUGGUGUAUUAGAGAUAUUUGAAUGCUAUUCAUGAAUUGACAACAACCUCCAAACAAAAGGGGGCAAGAUAUUGCACCAACAAGGAGAUUUUUACUACUGUUAGGUACUAUCAUGCAUGCUAACUAGACAUUUUUUGUGAGGUGAUACUUAAUUAUAUGAGAAAAGAGAUGAUUGAGUAUCAUGAUAUGAUACCAUACCAUAUUGAACGAUGUAGUAGUAUGUGUCAUGCAUAACAAUGAAUGUGAUCACUAUGAUACCGGCGUAUGAUACUAUGCAUUAGAGUUUAUAGAAUGAUGUGUUAGCAUCUAAUUGCAGAUUAAAGGGCCCCACAUCCUGAAAUUCGGGAGGGAGACUAAUGAGGAUUAGACUAGUCGUCCCUUAACUCAGUCCAUAGGGAAUAUUACCCGUAAGUGUAGCAGUUCUUAUGGAUGUGGUAUCAUGUACAAAAAUUCGGUUCUUGGGUGUAUAUACACCCUGUAUGAAAAAAAAUAGUAAUUACAAAAGAGUUAAAUACUUUGGUUUAUUUUUUCUCCCUAAAGUCAAAAAGAUUUUUACUUCAUGAAAUUCUAUAUACUAGCGCAAAAGAGAGCGAUGUUUAAUGGAAAAAAAAAUGUUCAGGAAUUUUUUGACUUUCUGUAAAUUUUAUUUUUCCAUGUAGAAUCUAAAUACACCCGAGAACCAAACUGCACUUACCGUAGUAUCAUACACUAGCAUUAUAUUUAUAAGCAUGAUACUAGUAUACUAGUGGUUGGGGCCGCCGUUGCGGGUCUCUUAAGAGGAACUUGUGUGCGUAUUUCUACCUCUUAAAGAAAAAAGAAAAAGCAUCAUCUUCAUCUCAAAUUUAAAGGAAAACUUUCUCACAACACGUGGACAUCACAUCCAUCUCAAAAAAUAAAAGAGAAAAGCCUAAAAAAUUCUCAAAAAGAAAAAGGAAACUGUAUCACUGUCAUGUUACAAAAAUAAUCUUCAAAAGAACUUUUCUCAAAAGAAUAAAAAAUUCUCACUUUCACCUUCCAAAAGUAAUCUUAAACCAAAUCAAAAAGUAUCUCACCACGGCCAACCAACAUGUGCCAUGUGGCCAUGCUGGUUAGCCGUUCUUCCCCUGCAUAUUAAUGUGUUUGAUGAUACUGCCUCUGUAAAUUUUCACAUGGGAGUACUUUUUAGUAGGAGUUCACACUUAGGAGCAAAGUUGUCAGAUGGCGCUUAAUGGAAAUGCAACAAGCCACAAUAAUGAACAAAAAUACUACGUUAGUCAUGAAAAGUAACAGUGGGAGGCAGCAAAGUUUUUUUUAUCCCCCCUACCGUCCUAUAUGUCCUGUCGUCGUACACGCCAUAAUCAACAUCACAUGCUCAUGAUUCACCCACCUCAAAUUAUUAUUAUUAUUAUUAUUAUUAUUAUUAUUAUUAUUAUUAUUAUUAUUAUUAUUAUUAGAACAAAAAAUGGAAGUUGUGUUAGGGCAUCUGAAAUACUGACCCUCAAACAUGACGUGUUUUGUCAUCCAACAAGGUACCACAUCCGUCAGUACCGAGAUGUCUAGACGUGUAUUGCCAUCCAACGUGGUACCGCAUCCGUCCGCGGACUGAUCCAGACAUCCAUUUUCUAGCAAACUAGAAGCAANNNNNNNNNNNNNNNNNNNNNNNNNNNNNNNNNNNNNNNNNNNNNNNNNNNNNNNNNNNNNNNNNNNNNNNNNNNNNNNNNNNNNNNNNNNNNNNNNNNNNNNNNNNNNNNNNNNNNNNNNNNNNNNNNNNNNNNNNNNNNNNNNNNNNNNNNNNNNNNNNNNNNNNNNNNNNNNNNNNNNNNNNNNNNNNNNNNNNNNNNNNNNNNNNNNNNNNNNNNNNNNNNNNNNNNNNNNNNNNNNNNNNNNNNNNNNNNNNNNNNNNNNNNNNNNNNNNNNNNNNNNNNNNNNNNNNNNNNNNNNNNNNNNNNNNNNNNNNNNNNNNNNNNNNNNNNNNNNNNNNNNNNNNNNNNNNNNNNNNNNNNNNNNNNNNNNNNNNNNNNNNNNNNNNNNNNNNNNNNNNNNNNNNNNNNNNNNNNNNNNNNNNNNNNNNNNNNNNNNNNNNNNNNNNNNNNNNNNNNNNNNNNNNNNNNNNNNNNNNNNNNNNNNNNNNNNNNNNNNNNNNNNNNNNNUCCCUCAACAGUCAGGUACCCUCCCCAUCCACACGCCUGCCUACCUUGGACUAUGUCGUUGUCCACCCAGGAAUUCCUCAGCAGUCAGGUACCCUCCCCACCCACGCGCUUGCCUACCUCGGACUAUGUCAUUGUCCACCCAAGAAUCCCUCAACAGUCAGGUACCCUCCCCACCCCUGCCGAUGUCGUCCAUGGUGGACAACACGCCCGCCAGGUGUUCGGUCAAAUGUCAUUUAACUUUUUUUCUUGAACUUCUUGUUGUUUUCUAAAGAAGCACGAUGACGGGGUACUUGGUGAUCGAGGAUGAGUUGGUGUGCGAUGCGUGGCUGGCUAUUUCUCUGGACUUUGUAGGCAUGAAUGGUACCUCCUUUUAUUGAUCCGGUAAUGGAAUAGAAAAGUGUAUCCCACACCUAUUUCCCCAGAGGUGACUGAUGGAGUCAUGUACCUAGGGUAGGGUCAUAGACCUGAUCUAAGUACCCUACCCAAGGACACCAUUAUUAUAAGAGACUACCUUCCAGUCGACCAAGGAGGACACCACUCGACAGACUCGAAGGACUCGACCACGAAGACGCACUCGACUACCAGAAGGUCAAGAAGCACUUUGUACUGCAAUGGUCUGUAAUUAAGUAGACUUUAUGAUAGUUAAGACACUUUAUGUGGGAUGUUACCAGUAACGCCCCAGACUUAAUGUACUUUAAACCCCGCAUUACUGAGGGCCGGAGGGGUCUGGCAGGCACUAUAUAAGCCACCCCCCACCUCAGUGUAAAGGGUUGGCACCCCUGUAAUCCAUACUCAUAUAAUCCACUCGACCGCCUCCGGGCUCCGAGACGUAGGGCUUUUACUUCCUCCGAGAAGGGCCUGAACUCGUACAUCUCUUGUGUUUACAACCUCUCCAUAGCUAGGACCUUGCCUCUCCAUACCUACCCCCACUCUACUGUCAGACGUAGAACCACGACAGUUGGCGCCCACCGUGGGGCCGGUGUUUUAGCGAUUUUUUGGAGAAGUUGCGAUUCUUCCGAGCACUUUCAUCAUGGUUGCUGCUGGAGUUUUUGCCGAGGGCCGCGAGAUCCGUCUCGGCGCUCUCACCUUCAUCGCCGACGACUCUGCUUGGCUCCAGGAGGCUCCACUCGACGUUGAUGCGCUCCCCGUCCGCGGUGCGACGCAUUUUCGUGCAUGUGUCCGCGGCGUUCUGCUGCGACAACCGUCGACCCCGUAUCGGUCGACUCCCCUAUCGGCCACCCUCCCGGUCUCCCACCAGUGCAAGCGCUCUGGUUGGUCGAGGCUCCAGCGGUGGGUGAAGCACGCGGUGGCUCGCCAGACGGCCACCGCCCAAGUUGCGGCAAUCGAGCCCGACGAAUCCCUCUACGGCCUGUUCGAUCUAUCGACUGGCUCCGUAGAGACUGCAUCCGAGUGCGAUAGCAGUGAUCCGGCGGCGGAAAUCUUGAUGGUCAACGGACCUCGCAGUCCUCCUGGCUUCGCCCAUGAGGGCGGGGCAAGCGAUGGAGGCGACCCCGUACGGGACCACGAAGAGUACCAGCCCGAACCACUCGACUCUCUGAAGAGGGAAGAGCUUCGCCGCAGGAACAUGGAUGCCCUGCAUACUCCCAUCGCGGGAGAAACCCCCGAGGCUCGCGCCUUGGAGGAGGCACGUUUAGCCAAUUUGGCUGAACGCGCUCGUCUGGAGAACCUUCAGCGAGCACUCGACGAGCGCGCGCGGCAACGAGUUCCCGACGCCAAUCGACGUCAACUCUUCCCGCCGACUCAGGUAUAUCGAACUCCAAUUCAGAAUUUAGCAGCUGCAACCCGUAUAGCAGAGUCCAUCCAGCCCUCUCAGUCGGAAGCUGGCAGAGGCUUGAUGCAGAUCAGGGAUUUGCUCCGGGCAGCAGGAGAUCAGAAUUCAGCCGUGUCGCAGUCGCGCAACAGAAUUCACAGUCGAUCCGUCGCUGCGAAUACGGUUCAGUCAGCUCAUAGUCCCAGAUCGCCUCCGCGGCGUGAAGGACGCGAGAAUCGGCGAGACCAGUAUGGAGACCGACACGAUCGGGAUGAUAGACGUCGAGUGCCCACUUCCUCUCCGAGGGGUGGGUCUUACGCUCCUCGGCAGCAAGAUGACGGGCGUCAACUCAGUGUGGGGCGAAGGGCUCCAGUCGACCCCCGGGAACCAGGCUUCGACGCGCGAUCCAUUAUCGUGCAAGGCUUGGUCGACCGAAACAGAGCCCAUCAGGGUGGGCCCGACAGAGAUGCGCCCACAAGCAGUCGAGUGCAUGUUUCUGGUCCAGAAUGUUUCAGCAGGGCUAUCAGAGCCGCGAUGAUUCCCCCCAACUUCAGGUUGGCAACAGGAGUAAGCAAGUUCACUGGUGAGUCUAAGCCUGAAACUUGGCUUGAGGACUACCGAGUGGCGGUUCAGAUUGGUGGUGGGAAUGACGAGGUGGCCAUGAAGCAUUUGCCCCUCAUGUUGGAAGGUUCUGCCAGAGCGUGGUUGAAUCAGUUACCUCCUAGCAACAUUUACACUUGGGAAGAUCUGUCCCGAGUGUUCGUCAGAACAUUUGAAGGAACUUGCAAGCGACCAGCUGGAUUGACAGAGCUGCAAGUCUGUGCGCAGAAGACGAAUGAGACUCUCAGAGAGUAUAUUCAGAGAUGGAUCACUUUGCAUCAUACCGUGGAGAAUGUGUCUGAUCAUCAGGCAGUCUGCGCCUUCAAGGAUGGCGUCAAGAACAGAGAAUUGAGUUUGAAGUUUGGUCGAACCGGAGACAUGACCCUGAGUCGGAUGAUGGAGAUUGCUACCAAGUACGCCAACGGCGAAGAAGAAGAACGACUCUGAAGCGGCAAGUACAAGCCGAGUCAGUCGGAGAAGGGAAACACCAGUCGAAAACAGAAGCGGAAAGCCGAACCAGCAGCUCCUGGAGAGGCUCUGGCCGUGACUCAGGGAAAAUUCAAAGGGAAACCUAAAGGAUCCUGGAACCCUAAGAAGGUGAAGGAUAAAGAAGGGAACGACGUGAUGGAUAUGUCGGACUGAACUUGUUGUAUGCAGACACACUGAAAGGAACUGGCAUUCCGAUGUCCCGACUGAGCACCAGUAACAUGAGCUUUCAUGGAGUUAUACCAGGAAAGAAAGCCGAGUCACUCGGCCAAAUAGCUCUGGACGUGGUGUUUGGUGAUUCAAAACAUUUUCGCAAGGAAAAGUUGAUGUUUGAAGUCGUGGAUUUUCAGAGCGCGUACCACGCCAUUUUGGGGAGACCAGCUUACGCACGGUUCAUGGCUCGACCAUGUUACGUGUACCUCAAACUGAAGAUGCCCGGCCCCAAAGGAGUGAUCACUGUCACCGGUGAUCGGAAAAAGGCAGAAGAGUGUUUUCAGAAGGGCUCAAAGAUUGCCGAUUCCCAGGUGACAACGGUCGAGUUUGAAGAAUAUAAGCAAAACGCAGAUCCGAGUGAUUUGCUGCGAUCCAAGAAGCCCGCCACAGAAUCUGCAUUUCAGUCAUCCGGUGAGACGAAGCCUGUCCACAUUCACCCGACCGACCCCAAUGCAGCCCCGACCCACAUUUCCAGAACACUCGACCCGAAAUAGGAAGAAGCGCUCAUCUAGUUCCUCCGUGAGAACUGGGACAUUUUUGCAUGGAAGCCAGCUGACAUGCCAGGUGUUCCCAGGGGACUGGCUGAGCAUCGCCUUAGAGUCGACUCAUCAGCAAAACCAGUUAAAGAGCAUCUUCGGCGGUCCGCCGUCCAGAAGAGAAAGGCUAUUGGUGAGGAAGUGGCUUGACUGUUGGCGGCAGGAUUUAUCCGAGAGAUAUACCACUCCGAGUGGCUCGCUAAUGUCGUCAUGGUUCCUAAGAAGGACAAAUCACUCCGAAUGUGCAUUGAUUUCAAGCACAUCAAUUGGGCCUGCCCGAAAGAUAAUUUUCCUCUCCCUCGCAUUGAUCAAAUUGUUGACUCGGCCGCGGGAUGCGAGAGAUUGUCUUUUCUAGACGCCUAUUCCGGGUACCAUCAGAUCCGUCUGUACGGACCCGAUGAGAUAAAAACAGCUUUCAUCACUCCAUUCGGGUGCUUCUGCUAUAUCACCAUGCCAUUCGGCCUCAAGAAUGCCGGAGCCACAUUUAUGCGAAUGAUUCAGAAGUGUUUGCUCACUCAAAUCAGUCGGAAUGUGGAAGCGUAUAUGGAUGAUAUCGUUGUCAAGUCACGAAAAGGUUCCGACCUGCUCGCUGACCUCGCCGAAACAUUUGCCAACCUCAGAAGGUAUGAUAUCAAGCUCAAUCCAUCAAAGUGCACAUUCGGAGUUCCUGGUGGCAAGUUACUCGGUUUUCUCGUUUCCGAGCGAGGGAUCGACGCUAAUCCAGAGAAGAUCGGCACUGUUCUCCGAAUGAAACGCCAUGUGCGAGUGCACGAUGUCCAAAAGCUUACCGGAUGCUUGGCCGCAUUAAGUCGAUUCAUCUCAUGACUCGGUGAAAAGGCAUUGCCUCUUUACCGACUGAUGAAGAAGGCAGACAAGUUCGAGUGGACUCCAGAAGCUGAUGCAGCGUUUGCCGAGCUAAAAGCUCUGCUCUCCACCCAGCCGGUGCUUGCUGCUCCAAUUAGCAAAGAGCCUAUGUUGCUUUAUAUCGCAGCCACAGGACAAGUCGUCAGUACAGUACUUACGGUCGAGCGGGAAGAAGAAGGAAAAGCCUUCAAAGUUCAGCGCCCAGUGUAUUAUUUGUCUGAAGUUUUGACUCCAUCCAGGCAGAGAUACCCUCAUUAUCAGAAGCUUGUGUAUGGGAUAUACAUGACCACGAAGAAGUUUGCUCAUUAUUUCUCUGAUCGUUCCAUCACAGUCGUCAGCGACGCUCCACUUUCAGAGAUUCUGCACAACAGAGAUGCAACCGGUCGAGUGGCGAAAUGGGCGAUUGAACUUCUUCCCCUUGAUAUCAAGUUUGAGGCAAAGAAAGCCAUUAAGUCCCCGGCAAUAGCAGAUUUCCUCGCCGAGUGGAUUGAACAACAACAGCCGACUGAGGUUCACUCAGAGCAUUGGACCAUGUUCUUUGAUGGCUCUAAGAUGCUGAAUGGUUCCGGUGCUGGGGUGGUCUUGGUUUCCCCCAGAGGAGAUAAGCUCAGAUAUGUGCUCCAGAUUCACUUUGAUUCCUCCAACAAUGAGGCAGAGUACGAGGCCCUUCUGUAUGGGUUGCGCAUGGCCAUUUCACUCGGCGUCCGUGGCCUUAUGGUUUAUGGCGACUCCGAUUUAGUGGUCAACCAAGUGAUGAAGGAGUGGGACGUGAGAAGCCCAGCCAUGACUGGAUACUGCAAUGCAGUGAGGAAGCUGGAAAAGAAGUUUGAGGGGUUAGAGCUCCAUCACAUACCCCGACUGAAAAAUCAAGCAGCUGAUGAUCUAGCAAAAAUAGGUUCCAAGAGAGAAGCCAUUCCGAGUGGUGUGUUCUUAGAACAUAUCCAUACUCCAUCAGUCAAAGAAGAUCCUUUCACCGAAGAAGCUCCACAGCCCAAGAGUGCCACAGAUCCGACUGAAGUUGAGGUCCCAGCAGUGGUCGACUUGGUCAUGGAGGUCCUAGUGGUCAUUCCCGACUGGACAGUUCCAUAUAUCGCGUAUAUCCUGAGAAAAGAGCUCCCGGAGGAUGAGGAAGAGGCUCGACAGAUCGUCCGUCGAUCCAAAGCCUUUACCGUAAUCAAAGGACAGUUGUACAGAGAGAGCGCGACUGGAGUUGGUCAGAAGGGCAUAACGCCAGAAGAAGGUCGAAUCGGCCUUGAUGAUAUCCACUCGGGGACCUGUGGUCAUCAUGCGUCCUCUCGGACCAUCGUGGCCAAAGCAUACCGAGCCGGAUUUUACUGGCCAAAGGCGAAUGAGAUGGCAAAAGAAAUAGUGGACAAGUGCGAAGGAUGUCAGUUCUACUCAAAUAUGUCACACAAGCCUGCGUCAGCUCUGAAGACCAUUCCACUCGUCUGGCCCUUCGCAGUAUGGGGGUUGGAUAUGGUCGGUCCCUUGAGAACAGGUCGAAGCGGUUUCACGCAUGUAUUGGUGGCAGUCGACAAGUUCACCAAGUGGAUCGAGGCAAAACCCAUCAAGAACCUUGACGCCGGUACUGCUGUUAGUUUCAUCAAGGAACUGAUAUUCAGAUAUGGAGUCCCGCACAGCAUCAUUACAGAUAAUGGGUCGAACUUUGAUUCAGAGGAAUUCAGAGAUUUCUGCAACUCUCAAGGCACACGAGUCGACUACGCUUCAGUCGCCCAUCCAUAGUUGAAUGGACAAGCAGAGCGAGCCAAUGGCCUGAUCCUCAAAGGGCUGAAACCCCGACUGAUGCGUGAUCUCAAACAUGCAGCUGGAGCAUGGGUCGACGAACUUCCCUCGGUGCUUUGGGGAUUGCGGACCACGCCAAAUCGGUCGACCAGAAGAACUCCAUUCUUCUUAGUCUACGGAGCUGAAGCAGUCUUGCCGAGUGUUCUUCUCCACAAUGCUCCUCGAGUUGAACUCUACAACGAAGCAGAAGCUGAACAAGCGCGGCAGGACGCAGUCGACCUUUUAGAGGAAGAAAGGGAGAUGGCUCUGAUCCGAUCGACCAUCUACCAACAAGACUUGCGUCGCUUCCAUGCCAGAAACGUGAAGAGUCGAGCCUUCCAGGAAGGAGAUUUGGUUCUCCGAGUGGAUCAGCAGAAACAACACAAGCUUGCUCCUUCUUGGGAAGGGCCCUUCAUCGUCACCAAGGUUCUCCACAACAGGGCGUACCGUCUCUACAAUGUCAAGCACAAUAUCGACGAGCCCCGAGCUUGGAACGCGGAACUACUCCGCCCAUUUUACACUUAAGUUUAUCACUCGGAUGAGUUGUAAUAAAAGUACUUCUGUAGUCCAUGUUUUGCAAGAUAAUAGUGUCAUAAUUUCCCAAACAAUUUUUGUCACUUUUAUUUGUUCAAGUAAAAAUUACCCCCCUAGUGGGUGACUUAGCCGCGAAUUCGUUUCGCCUAAGUUUGUAAAAAAAAAAUCCUUACCGAGUGGUGAGCCAGCCUCCCACUCGGGGGCUUAGCUGCAAAUCCGUUUCGCCUAAGUUUCAAUGAAAUCCUACCGAGUGAUAAGCCGGACUUUCACUCGGAGGCUUAGCUGCAGUCCAAGUACUCGCCUAAGUUCAAAUAAAAUCCUACCGAGUGAAGAGCAAACCUCUCACUCGGGGGCUUAGCUGCAGCCCAGUGCUCGCCUAAGUUAUAAAAUCCUACCGAGUGGUGAGCCAGACUACCACUCGGGGGCUUAGCUGCAGUCUAAACACUCGCCUAAGAACAAAUACAAUGUGCGCUCGCAAGGAAGACGAGGUGCAGGUCGACUGCGACCCUCUCCUCUGAGCUACGCCACAAAUACAACGUGCGGUCGUAAGGAGGACGAGGUGCAGGUCGACUGCGACCCUCUCCUCUGAGCUACGCCACAAAUACAACGUGCGGUCGUAAGGAGGACGAGGUGCAGGUCGACUGCGACCCUCUCCUCUGAGCUACACCACAAGUACAAUGUGCGGUCGUAAGGAGGACGAGGUGCAGGUCGACUGCAACCCUCUCCUCUGAGCUACGCCACAAGUACAACGUGAAAAUCCUACCGAGUGAAGAGCAAACCUCUCACUUGGGGGCUUAGCUGCAGCCCAGUGCUCGCGUAAGGUAUAAAAAUCCUACCGAGUGAAGAGCAAACCUCUCACUCGGGGGCUUAGCUGCAGCCCAGUGCUCGCCUAAGGUAUAAAAAUCCUACCGAGUGAAGAGCAAACCUCUCACUCGGGGGCUUAGCUGCAGCUCAGCGCUCGCCUAAGAUAUAAAAAUCCUACCGAGUGAAGAGCAAACCUCUCAUUCGGGGGCUUAACUGCAGCCCAGUGCUCGCCUAAGGUAUAAAAAUCCUACCGAGUGAAGAGCAAACCUCUCACUCGAGGGCUUAGCUGCAGCCCAGUGCUCGCCUAAGGUAUAAAAAUCCUACCGAGUGAAGAGCAAACCUCUCACUCGGAGACUUAGCCGCAGCUCAGUGCUCGCCUAAGUGGAUGGAAAAGAAUAAGUCGACUGCAGUGGGCGUCUUGCUUUAAACCUGCAAAAGACAUUUCGAGCCAAAACCAAGCAUAUUCAAACAUCAAAUCCAAGUUCAGAUCGAUACCUAAAGGAACCAAAAGUGCUCGGGCUCUAAGCCUGUUAAGGUUUAUCGGUUACAAAAUCACUCGACAUACCGAGGCAAAUUUAAAGUGUCGAGCUCAAAGAAGUUUUUUACCCCUCCUGUGGAGGGCUGGAAGGUGCAACAAACUCAUCAAGGUCAAUUCCAUCCGCGAUCCGAGUGGCAGCAGCGAUGAAGGUUUCCAUGAAGGACCUGAAGUCAUGUUUCUUGGUGUUGGCCACCCGAAGAGCCGCCAGCUUGUCUUCUCGCGCAUCCUUGCAGUGGACUCGAGCCAGACACAGAGCAACAUCCGCACCGCACCUAGCAGAGGAUUUUUUCCACUCCUGCACUCGACCAGGAACCGUGUUGAGUCGAGCCAUCAGAGACUCGAGGUCGUUCUGGAGUGUCUCCCUGGGCCAGAGCGUGGUGUCAAUGCGGGAAGUGGCGACUUUAAGCCUUGCAAGAUAGUCAACGACAGCAGCAACGUGAGACUCGAGUCGGAACACAUUCAUAGCAACUUCAUCGUUCACCGGAGAGUUGACGGGGUCCAGGCUCGGUUCCAGUCGACUAGUUUCCUCUUCAAAGUUUUGACAAAAUUCUGCAAAUACAAUAACUGAAUCAAGGCAAUGGUCGAAUGGAAAGGUCACUGCUAAAAAUAACUGUCGAGUGCAAAGGAUUACCUUCGAGCAUGAGGAACAACUUCUUGGUGAGUCCACUCAGGAAGGCCUCCAGAUCCUUCUUCUUCCCAGUCAACUGACCGGCCUUGUCAUACAGGGCAGCUUUGUCGGUUUUCAGUCGACUGACCUCCUUGUUGGCAAUCGCAAGAGCAGCUUUCAGAUUAGUAUUUUCUUCUUCAAGCUUGGUGACUGAAGCUAACUUCUCGUCAACAAGCUUGAUCUUCUCAGCUAGCUCAAGGUAUUUUUUCUUCUGGGCUUCCUUCACCUUGCCUGCAAGUUACAGCAAGGUCAGAUUUUGAAACAAAUGAAGGAAAAAAGGAGUCGUCGAGGUCUCACCAAACAUACCUUUGGUCUCCUCCUUCGCCUUCGUCAGAUUCUCCUGAACCAGCUUCAGAUCCAGCUCGAGCUGAAUGUGCUUGUUCUCCAGCUCGGUAUAACGAGCCACAAGGUCACAGGAUUUCUGCGAAGAACCAAUCGACAAAAUGUCAAGGAUAAUUCACUUCCAAGUGGAUAAGAGAAAAUCAUGCGUUUCUAAGACUACAGCCGAAUACAAACAUUCGACCGUAGUCUCAGGGACUACACCCAGUGGGUGCACUCAGCGUGCCCCCACUAGUUCUAUUAAAGAUAGAGUCGACCAGUCGACCCAAAAAAAACACACACACAAGACGUAUUCUUCAGACUGUAAUCGACUGCAAGCAGUCGACCACAGUCUCGGGGACUACACCCAGUGGGUGCACUCAGCGUGCCCCCACCGGUUUGAGAAAUCCAUUCGACUCAGUCGAAUGACAGAAAGACUUAACUUAUAAAGCCUAAGGCCGACUGCCAGCAGUCGACCUUAGCCUUGGGGACUACACCCAGCGGGUGCACUCAGCGUGCCCCCGCUAACACGGAGUUUCUUGACACCCAGUGGGUGAUUGCUACGGAAACCGGAAAGAAAAGCUUUUUGAUAGCAUAUCCUAACAGAACAAGCGAUUCGACCUACCUGAACAUUGCUUUGAAGAGCAGAACUGGCGUCAUAGGCUGCCUGGCUUGCCUCCCGGAUGACCUUCACCUGCUCCAUCAUGUUCCCCGCCUGGCGUAUCGCUUCCUUUGCAGCACUGGCUUGGUCCUCCGGGACAUGGUGCGUCGUGAAGAGGGAAGGCUGCGCAGCACUCGACGAAGCGGGGAGAGCACUCGUCAGUGGAACCGCGAAGGACACGGUGUGUCGAGUGGUGUUCUCCUCCUCCGCGACCAGAGUCUCGGGCGCCGUCACAUCCUGGGCCACCCUACCGGCAGACGCUUUCCUGCUCCUCCUGUGCUUCAGUGGUUCCUCAUCGUCAUCAUCAUCAGGAAGAGUGAUAACGACAUUGGAUGGAGCUACAGAAAAGAAUCAGAAUUAGGGACUGUAAGUGCAUCUAGUGCCCCUUAGUGAUUUUGGUGUAUUGAAGACUUAUAGGUUAAGUAACUGAUGCGUUUGUGAGUGUACACAGGUCUAUAAGUCUAUGAGGAGUUUGAUAUUUACAGAGAAAGUCGACCCCUAAAAAUGAAGUUCUUCGACUGAAGACUUUGAUAUUCUGAAGACUUUCUGAAGACUUUGAAAGUGAAGAAAUUGGUGUGACCAUGAAGACUUGAUAUUCAUUCGAGGAAUAUGAAGCGUGAAGACUUUUGUUUUCGUAGUUUCAUUUUCUCUUUCUUGAGUCAUAGGAAACACCGUACUAUUAAAGGGGGUCGAGGAAAUACUAAGGAAAAAUUUCCAUGUGAUGCUCAACUCAAAAUCCUACACCUACCAAUCCCUUCGAGUGAAGCCAUUGGAAAUCUCAUACACUUCAGUCAAAUUCUUCAGUGACAGAGACGCAGUUCUUCUGGUCACUGAUGACUUUGCUCUGACUGAGGAGUUAGGAAUUCGCCAGUGCGAAUUGCCUACACAGUGAGGAACAUGAUAGCCCUGAGGACUUUGAAAGUCAAAUUUCCGACCGUUGCUGUGCUGCGCGCCGGCGGACCAAAAUAUCUUAUCCACCUAACGGUCAUAUCAUUGAAGGGCAUUUAUGUCUUAUCAUGUCGGGCUGCUCCCUAGGCUAUAAAUAGCCGCCCCCUACAACCACUAGUUGGUUGGCUGCUCCGAGAGAACUUGACACUUGUCAUUUGAGAGCAACCCAUCCUCCGAGGACUUUGAGCGAAAAUCAUCAAGUGAGGAAAAUCCAAAACCAAACCCCCCACAAAAACCCCAAGUGAUUGAGCAUCACUGAAGAAAUUGAUCCUGCGUGGAUCCGACGCUUGUUACCUUUGAAGACUGUGCUUCUUCCAGACGGUUAGGCGUCAAGGUCUAGAGCAUCCAAGAGGAAUUGUGGAUCACCGAGUGACCAAGUCUGUGAAGGUUUGGAAGUCACCUGAAGACUUACCACGAGUGAUUGGACGAGGCCUGCGUGGUCUUAGUUCAAGGAGAAUAUGGUGAGGACUGGGUGUCCUGAGUUGCGGCUCAGAGACUGGGUGUCCGAGACUGUGUGUCCUCGAGUUUAAAUACUCAGCCGCUCCAACCAGACGUACAACUGAGACAGCAGUUGGAACUGGUCUACCAAAUCAUUGUCUUCACCAACUGACUGGUUCUAUUUCCUCAACUCAUUCAUUUCCUCAUUCUGUGUUGCAUGUUGUUCAUAUCUGUGCUUGAAGACUUUGACUGAAGACUUUCACAAAUUCCUCAGUUCAAUUUCUUCAGUCUGUUUGUCUGCAUCUUGUUAUCCUGUGUUUACGCUUCCUGUACUCUGUUCUAGUCUUCAUUUCAUCAUGCUGACUAUGUGUGUAAUCGGUUAUGUUUACCUCUGAGUACUUAUUCCGCUGCAAAUAGUUCUUCGCUAAGGAAUUUCCUCACCGGCAAAUUCCUCAGUGAAGAAUUUCAUAAAAAUCGCCUAUUCACCCCCCUCUAGUCGAUAUAACGCACUUUCAAUUGGUAUCAGAGCAAGGUACUCCCUUGUUCUGUGUGAUUUUGGUUUAACCACCUGGAGUUCUAGUUAUGUCGACCGCAGGUAUGAUCAAGGUCUCGGCUGGGUGUCCUACCUUUGAUGGAACGGACUAUCCCUACUGGAAGAACAAGAUGCGGAUGCAUCUUGAGGCAAUUGAUAAUGAUCUCUGGUAUGUUGUGGAAAAUGGUGUCCCCGCUGUCACUGAAACACUGACCGCUACUGACGUGAAGAGAUUCAAACAACUCGACUUUCAAGCGAAGAAUAUCAUCUGUGGCCAUCUGAGCAAAGGAUAGUAUGGAAGAGUGAGUGCUUUGGAAACUGCCAAGCUUAUCUGGGAUAGGUUGUCCAAAGUAAAUGAAGGAGUCUCAACUCAGCGUGACUCUCGAGUUGAUGUUCUUCGGAAUCUCUUCAACCGCUUCAAAAGACUCGACAACGAAAAUGUUCAACAAACCUUCGAUCGCCUCACUGACAUCUCAAAUGAGCUUCAAGCCCUCGGUGCCACUGAUAUCACUGACCAUGAAGUGGUGAAGAAACUGCUAAGAUCGCUUGAUUCCUCAUUUGAUACUCUGGGACUGAUGAUACAAGAGCGUGCUGACUACAAGUCACUUGAUCCUGCUGACAUCCUCAAAAGGCUUAACACUCACGAGUUCCAGCUUGCUGAAAAGAGAGAUCUCUAUGGCUCAAACCAUGGCAAACCACGUGCCCUGAAGGCUAAGGUUGUGUCUGACUCUGAAUGUGAGGAUUCUGGAAGUAGCCUUGGUGAUCCUGAAGAACUGAGCCAGGAUCUAGCUCUCCUGGUGAAGAAAUUCCAGAAAUUCACAAGACGUGGUCGCUUUGGAAAACCCUCAAGGGGAAGUGAUCCUUCAUCCAGUGACUACAAGAGAAGACUUUGCCACAAAUGCAAGAAGCCUGGUCACUAUAUUCAAGAUUGUCCUCAGUGGGAAAAGGAAAUGAAGAAGAAGAAAUACAAGGACUACAGUUCUGAUGAAAUGAAGAAGAAGAAGAAAUCAUCAAAAUCUUCGUCUUCAAAACCAUCAAAGUCUUCAUCUCACAAGAAGGGCAGCUCCAAGAAAGCUCGGGCAUUCAUUGGCAAGGAAAUGGACUCUGAAGCUGAAUCUGAGGAAAAUGAUGAAGAGGAGGAGUCUGAAGAAUCCGAGUCUGGUGUGGCGAGUCUGGCCGUUGCUACUGCUUUCGUCAGCAAGUCCAUCUUCAACACUGAAGAAACUGAUUCCACCAACAAGCCUGAUGAAGAUAAUGAUGGCUACGCUCCCACCUAUUGCUUCAUGGCAAAAGCAGCUAAGGUACUCAAAUACAACUCCUCUGAUUCUAGUGAAAAUGAAUCAGAUGAGGAUCUUAAGCCUAGCUACUCUAAACUUGCUAAAAUUGCUGUGAAACAACAACGGGCCCUUGAAAAGGUUCAAAACAUGCUAGAUAAAAGUGAUGAUAUGUUGGGUGAAGAAAUGGAUCGCACUAAAGCCCUGACUGAAAAUCUUCAGAGACUUCAGUCUAAGUACUAUAACCUUCAAGGUCAUCAUAACUCCCUCCAGUCUGAUCAUGAGAAACUUUCUUAUGAAUUUCUUCAAGAAAAGCAAGACAAUGAGAAGCUUUCUCUUGAAGCUAUUCAAAGAAAGGCAGAUCUUGAAAAGCUAAGAGUAUGUUAUGAAGAUCUUCAGAAGGAGCGCGAUUCAUUACUAGCUCAACAAAUCAGCGCUUCUCAGGAAGAAUUUGUUCCUCCAUGCUUAAAGUGCAUUGAACGUGAAUCUGCUAAUUCUUCACCUGAAUGUUCAAAUGCUUCAAAUGUUACAAAUUCUUCAUCUGCCUCUGCUAUCACUAAUUCCUCAUCUGAGGACUUUGCUAGUAUCACUGACAAUGCAGGGCUGAAGGAAUUGUACAUGACAGGCAUGUACAAAAGCCUCAAAGGGCAUCAGACACUUUGUGAUGUGCUCAAAAAGCAGAUCCUCAACAAAAACCCUAGGAAAGAGGGUAUUGCCUUUGAGAGGAAACUCAAUGCCGAUGGAACAUAUUGGAAGCCUGAGCAGUACCCCAAAACCUCAUGGGUUGCUGCAAAGGGACCUCCAGUUGAUCCAUCUAACUUAUCUGGCUUUACAUGUGAAUCUCCUCAUUCUUCUAAUGAGUCAUUUGACUCCAACUAUAAACUGUUCAAAAAUCAGAAUGGUGAAGUAUUUGCUAGAUAUGUUGGCACUAACUGCAGGAACGGUUCCCCUAUGAAGAAAAUCUGGGUUCCCAAAAGUUGUGUUGAAAGUCUUCAGGUGAAUGUCCUCAUGACACCACCUGUGAAGAACAGGAACCCCAGAUCAAAUUCUUCAUAUGGACCAAACUCUUCAUAUGGAUCCAAAUCCUCAUACGGACCAAAUCCUUCACGAGGAUCAAAUUCCUCAACUGGAUCAAAGUCUUCAUAUGAUUAUCAUCGUGCUAACAAAUCUGUCUCGCAGGGCAAAGCUAAGGGCUAUGAAUAUGUGCAUUAUUCUUCAAACCAUUAUGUUCAUAAGUCCUCGAAGAAUUAUUCUGCUUAUUCAUAUGCUUACCCUAACCCCUCCAAUGCUAAGCGAAAUGGUUUGGCAUCUUUGCCACCUUUCUCACAUGGUGCUCGCAGGAUGAUGAACUCUUUGCCACCCCUCCAGAUGUGGGUGGUGAAGAAAAAGAACUAAUCUCUUCUGCAGGGUCAGGUCUCCAGACGUGCUCGAACGUCUGAAGAAUUUGCUGGGGACCUGACAAAAUGCCUGAAAGGACGCAGGCGAAUCAUGAUGAAAUGAACCUUCAUUUCACACGUCCUCAUGCUGCUAUAUUUGUUUACUGCUUGAUGAAAUUCAUCUGAUGAACUUGAUAUCAUAUUCUUCACUGAUGAAGCAUAUGAGAUUGUAAGUUACACUAAUUCAUCUGCAGGAUGAUCAACCCAAAACCACUGAAUGGGUCCUUGAUAUGGAUGUACAAAUCACAUGACUGGUGACAAGAAUCUAUUGAUGGAUGCUCCUUUAUCACCGUCACCUCUGAAGCAUAUCAUAUUUGCUGACAAAGGCAAAAGUCAGGUAUUGGGUCUUGGUAAGGUUGCUAUCUCUAAGGAUAAGCACAUGGACAAAGUCAUGCUUGUUGAAUCCUUAGGAUACUGUUGGGGAACGUUGCAGAAAAUUAAAAAUUUUCCUACGGCUUCACCAAGAUCCAUCUAUGAGUUCAUCUAAGCAACGAGUAACGGGAGAGAGUUUGCAUCUACAUACCACUUGUAGAUCGUGUGCGGAAGCUUGCAAGGUGAUGAUGGAGUCGUACUCGAACGUGAUUCAGAUCACCGAUGUCCAAGUGCUGAACGGACAGCACCUCCGCGUUCAACACACGUACGGGACGAGCGACGUCUCCUCCUUCUUGAUCCAGCAAGGGGGAAGGAGAUGUUGAGGAAGACAGCUCCACCGGCAGCACGACGGCGUGGUGAUGAUGGAGAAGCAGUACUCCGACAGGGCUUCACCGAGCUCUUACGGAGGAGGAGAUGUGUUGGGGAGGGGAGGGGCUGCGCCUUGGGAGUUGGUACAGCAGCCCCCCUCCCUCCCCCCCCCUUAUAUAGGCCCCCUGGGGGGGUGGCCGGCCCCUGGAGAUCCAAUCUCCAGGGGGGGGCGGCGGCCAAGGGGGGUGGAGUGCCCCCCAAGCCAGGUGGGGCGCCCCCCCACCCCUAGGGUUUCAACCCUAGGCGCAGGGGGUGGGCCUAGGGGGGCGCACCAGCCCCCUGUGGGCUGGUUCCCUUCCCCCUUUGGCCCAUGGGGCCCUCCGGGAUAGGUGGCCCCACCCGGUGGACCCCCGGGACCCUUCCGGUGGUCCCGAUACUUUACCGGGAGACCCCGAAACUUUCCCGAUGGCCGAAUCACCACUUCCUAUAUAUUAUUCUUUACCUCCGGACCCUUCCGGAACUCCUCGUGACGUCCGGGAUCUCAUCCGGGACUCCGAACAACAUUCGGUAUUCACAUACUAGUCUUCCUACUAACCCUAGCGUCACCGAACCUUAAGUGUGUAGACCCUACGGGUUCGGGAGACACGCAGACAUGACCGAGACGACUCUCGGGCAAUAACCAACAGCAGGAUCUGGAUACCCAUGUUGGCUCCCACAUGCUCCUCGAUGAUUUCAUCGGUUGAACCACGAUGUCGAGGAUUCGAUCAAACCCUGUAUGCAAUUCCCUUUGUCAAUCGGUACGUUACUUGCCCGAGACUCGAUCGUCGGUAUCCCAAUACCUCGUUCAGUCUCGUUACCGGCAAGUCACUUUACUCGUACCGUAAUGCAUGAUCCCAUGGCCAACACCUUGGUCACUUUGAGCUCAUUAUGAUGAUGCAUUACCGAGUGGGCCCAGAGAUACCUCUCCGUCAUACGGAGUGACAAAUCCCAGUCUCGAUCCGUGUCAACCCAACAGAUACUUUCAGAGAUACCUGUAAUGCACCUUUAUAGUCACCCAGUUACGUUGUGACGUUUGAUACACCCAAGGCACUCCUACGGUAACCGGGAGUUACACGAUCUCAUGGUCGAAGGAAGAGAUACUUGACAUUGGCAAAGCUUCUAGCAAACGAACUAUACGAUCUUUUAUGCUAUGCUUAUGAUUGGGUCUUGUCCAUCACAUCAUUCUCCUAAUGAUGUGAUCCCGUUAUCAACGACAUCCAAUGUCCAUAGUCAGGAAACCAUGACCAUCUAUUGAUCACAACGGGCUAGUCAACUAGAGGCUCACUAGGGACAUAUUGGGGUCUAAGUGUUCACACGUGUAUUACGAUUUCCGGAUAACACAGUUAUAGCAUGAACAAAAGACAAUUAUCAUGAACAUUGAAAUAUAAUAAUACUUUUAUUAUUGCCUCUAGGGCAUAUUUCCAACAGUCUCCCACUUGCACUAGAGUCACUAAUCUAGUUACAUUGUGAUGAAUCGAACACCCAUAGAGUUCUGGUGUUGAUCAUGUUUUGUACGCGAGAGAGGUUUAGUCAACGGAUCUGCGACAUUCAGAUCCGUGUGCACUUUGCAAAUCUCUAUGUCUCCAUCUUGAACAUUUUCACGGAUGGAGUUGAAACGACGCUUGAUGUGUCUGGUCUUCUUGUGAAACCUGGGCUCCUUGGCAAGGGCAAUAGCUCCAGUGUUGUCACAGAAGAGUUUGAUCGGCCCCGACGCAUUGGGUAUGACUCCUAGGUCGGUGAUGAACUCCUUCACCCAAAUCGCUUCAUGCGCUGCCUCCGAGGCUGCCAUGUACUCCGCUUCACACGUAGAUCCCGCCACGAUGCUCUGCUUGCAGCUGCACCAGCUUACUGCUCCACCAUUCAACAUAUACACGUAUCCGGUUUGUGACUUAGAGUCAUCCAGAUCUGAGUCGAAGCUAGCGUCGACGUAACCCUUUACGACGAGCUCUUCGUCUCCUCCAUAAACGAGAAACAUGUCCUUUGUCCUUUUUAGGUACUUCAGGAUAUUCUUGACCGCUGUCCAGUGUUCUUUGCCGGGAUUACUUUGGUAUCUUGCAACCAAACUUACGGCAAGGUUUACAUCGGGUCUGGUACACAGCAUGGCAUACAUAAUAGAUCCUAUGGCUGAAGCAUAGGGGAUGACACUCAUCUCUUCUUUAUCUUUUGCCGUGGUCGGUGACUGAGCUGAGCUCAAUUUCACACCUUGUAACAUAGGCAAGAACCCUUUCUUGGACUGAUCCAUUUUGAACCUCUUCAAAAUCUUAUCAAGGUAUGUGCUUUGUGAAAGACCUAUGAGGUGUCUCGAUCUAUCCCUAUAGAUCUUGAUGCCUAAUAUAUAAGCAGCUUCUCCAAGGUCCUUCAUUGAAAAACACUUAUUCAAGUAGGCCUUUAUGCUGUCCAGAAGUUUUGUAUCAUUUCCCAUCAAGAGUAUGUCAUCUACAUAUAGUAGGAGAAAUGCUACAGAGCUCCCACUCACUUUCUUGUAAACGCAGGCUUCUCCAUAAGUCUGCAUAAACCCAAACGCUUUGAUCAUCUCAUCAAAGCGAAUGUUCCAACUCCGAGAUGCUUGCACCAGUCCAUAAAUGGAUCGCUGGAGCUUGCAUACUUUGUUAGCGUUCUGAGGAUCGACAAAACCUUCCGGCUGCAUCAUAUACAGCUCUUCCUUAAGAUGUCCAUUAAGGAAUGCCGUUUUGACGUCCAUCUGCCAUAUCUCAUAAUCAUAGUAUGCGGCAAUUGCUAACAUGAUUCGGAUGGACUUAAGCUUCGCUACGGGAGAGAAUGUCUCGUCGUAGUCAAUCCCUUGAACUUGUCGAUAACCCUUAGCGACAAGUCGAGCUUUAUAGAUGGUGACAUUUCCAUCCGCGUCCGUCUUCUUCUUAAAAAUCCAUUUGUUUUCUAUCGCUCGCCGAUCAUCGGGCAAGUCUGUCAAAGUCCAUACUUUGUUUUCAUACAUGGAUUCUAUCUCGGAUUUCAUGGCCUCAAGCCAUUUGUUGGAAUCCGGGCCCGCCAUUGCUUCUUCAUAGUUCGAAGGUUCAUUGUUGUCUAGCAACAUGAUUUCCAUGACAGGGUUCCCGUACCACUCUGGUGCGGAACGUGUCCUCGUGGACCUUCGAAGUUCAGUAGUAACUUGAUCCGAAGUACCUUGAUCAUCAUCAACGUUUUCCUCUUCAGUUGGUGUGGGCAUCACAGGAACGGUUUCCUGCGCUGCACCACUUUCCCGUUCGAGGGGUAGUACUUCAUCGAGUUCUACUUUCCUCCCACUUACUUCUUUCGAGAGAAACUCUUUCUCCAGAAAGCAUCCGUUCUUGGCAACAAAGACCUUGCCUUCAGAUCUUAAGUAGAAGGUAUACCCGACAGUUUCCUUAGGGUAUCCUAUGAAUACGCAUUUUUCCGACUUGGGUUCGAGCUUUUCAGGUUGAAGUUUCUUGACAUAAGCAUCGCAUCCCCAAACUUUUAGAAACGACAGCUUAGGUUUCUUCCCAAACCAUAAUUCAUACGGUGUCAUCUCAACGGAUUUAGACGGUGCCCUAUUUAAAGUGAAUGUAGCUGUCUCUAGUGCGUAUCCCCAAAAUGACAGCGGUAAAUCGGUAAGAGACAUCAUAGACCGCACCAUAUCCAAUAGAGUGCGAUUACGACGUUCGGACACACCGUUUCGCUGAGGUGUUCCAGGCGGCGUGAGUUGUGAAACGAUUCCACAUUUCUUUAAGUGUGUACCAAAUUCGUGACUUAAGUAUUCUCCCCCACGAUCUGAUCGUAGGAACUUUAUCUUUCGGUCACGUUGAUUCUCCACCUCAUUCUGAAAUUCCUUGAACUUUUCAAAGGUCUCAGACUUGUGUUUCAUUAAGUAGACAUACCCAUAUCUACUCAAGUCAUCAGUGAGAGUGAGAACAUAACGAUAUCCUCCCCGAGCCUCAACGCUCAUUGGACCGCACACAUCGGUAUGUAUGAUUUCCAACAAGUUGGUUGCUCGCUCCAUUGUUCCGGAGAACGGAGUCUUGGUCAUUUUGCCUAAGAGGCAUGGUUCGCAUGUGUCAAACGAUUCAUAAUCAAGAGACUCUAAAAGUCCAUCAGCAUGGAGCUUCUUCAUGCGCUUGACACCAAUGUGACCAAGGCGGCAGUGCCACAAGUAUGUGGGACUAUCGUUAUCAAAUUUACAUCUUUUGGCAUCCACACUAUGAACAUGUGUAAUAUUACGCUCGAGAUUCAUUAAGAAUAAACCAUUGACCAUCGGAGCAUGACCAUAAAACAUAUCUCUCAUAUAAAUCGAACAACCAUUAUUCUCAGACUUAAAUGAGUAGCCAUCUCGUAUCAAACGAGAUCCAGAUACAAUGUUCAUGCUCAAACUUGGCACUAAAUAACAAUUAUUAAGGUUCAAAACUAAUCCCGUAGGUAAAUGUAGAGGCAGCGUGCCGACGGCGAUCACAUCGACUCUGGAACCAUUCCCGACGCGCAUCGUCACCUCGUCCUUCGCCAGUCUCCGUUUAUUCCGCAGCUCCUGCUGUGAGUUACAAAUAUGAGCAACGGCACCGGUAUCAAAUACCCAGGAGUUACUACGAGUACUAGUAAGGUACACAUCAAUUACAUGUAUAUCAAAUAUACCUUUGGUGUUGCCGGCCUUCUUAUCCGCUAAGUAUUUGGGGCAGUUCCGCUUCCAGUGACCCUUCCCCUUGCAAUAAAAGCACUCAGUCUCAGGCUUGGGUCCAUUCUUUGACUUCUUCCCGGCAACAGGCUUACCGGGCGCGGCAACAUCUUUGCCGUCCUUCUUGAAGUUCUUCUUACCCUUGCCCUUCUUGAACUUAGUGGUCUUAUUGACCAUCAACACUUGAUGUUCUUUCUUGAUUUCAGCCUCUGCUGACUUCAGCAUCGAGAACACUUCAGGAAUGGUCUUUACCAUCCCCUGCAUGUUGUAGUUCAUCACAAAGCUCUUGUAGCUUGGUGGGAGCGACUGGAGGAUUCUGUCAAUGACUGCCUCAUCUGGGAGGUUAAUGUUCAGCUGGGUCAUACGGUUGUGCAACCCAGACAUCUUCAGGAUGUGCUCACUGACAGAACUGUUUUCCUCCAUCUUACAACUGUAGAACUUGUCAGAGACAUCAUAUCUCUCGACCCGGGCAUGAGCUUGGAAAACUAGUUUCAGCUCUUCGAACAUCUCAUAUGCUCCGUGAUGCUCAAAACGCUUUUGGAGCCCCGGUUCUAAGCUGUAGAGCAUGCCGCACUGAACGAGGGAGUAAUCAUCAGAACGAGUCUGCCAGACGUUCAAAUCGUCUUGCAGCGCUGGGAGAACAGGUGGGUCACCUAACGGUGCUUCUAGGACAUACUGUUUCUUGGCAGCUAUGAGGAUGAUCCUCAGGUUUCGGACCCAGUCCGUAUAGUUGCUGCCAUCAUCUUUCAGCUUGGUUUUCUCUAGGAACGCGUUGAAGUUCAUGUUGACAUUAGCGUUUGCCAUUGAUCUACAAGACAUAUUUGCAAAGGUUUUAGACUAAGUUCAUGAUAAUAAAGUUCUAAUCAAAAUUAUGAACUCCCACUUAGAUUAGACAUCCCUCUAGUCAUCUAAGUGUUACACGAUCCGAGUCGACUAGCCCGUGUCCGAUCAUCACGUGAGACGGACUAGUCAUCGUCGGUGAACAUCUUCAUGUUGAUCGUAUCUUCCAUACGACUCGUGUUCGACCUUUCGGUCUCCGUGUUCCGAGGCCAUGUCUGUACAUGCUAGGCUCGUCAAGUUAACCCUAAGUGUUUUCGCUGUGUAAAUCUGUCUUACACCCGUUGUAUGUGAACGUAAGGAUCCAUCACACCCGAUCAUCACGUGGUGCUUAGAAACGACGAACUGUAGCAACGGUGCACAGUUAGGGGAGAACACUUCUUGAAAUUUUGUAAGGGAUCAUCUUAUUUACUACCGUCGUCCUAAGUAAACAAGAUGUAUAAACAUAAUAAACAUCACAUGCAAUUAUAUAGUUGUGACAUGAUAUGGCCAAUAUCAUCAAGCUCCAUUGAUCUCCAUCUUCGGGGCUCCAUGAUCAUCUUGUCACCGGAUUGACACCAUGAUCUCCAUCAUCAUGAUCUCCAUCAUCGUGUCUUCAUGAAGUUGUCACACCAACGACUACUUCUACUUCUAUGACUAACGCGUUUAGUAAUGAAGUAAAGUAAUUUACAUGGCGUUCUUCAAUGACACGCAGGUCAUACAAAAAAUAAAGACAACUCCUAUGGCUCCUGCCGGUUGUCAUACUCAUCGACAUGCAAGUCGUGAAUCCUAUUACAAGAACAUGAUCUCAUACAUCACAAUUCAUCAUUCAUCACAACUUCUGGCCAUAUCACAUCACAUGAUCAAUCGCUGCAAAAACAAGUUAGACGUCCUCUAGUUGUUGUUGCAUCUUUUACGUGGCUGCGAUUGGGUUCUAGCAAGAACGUUUUCUUACCUACGAAUCACCACAACAUGAUUUUGUCAACUUCUAUUUACCCUUCAUAAGGGCCCUGUUCAUCGAAUCCGCUCCAACUAAAGUGGGAGAGACAGACACCCGCCAGCCACCUUAUGCAACUAGUGCAUGUCAGUCGGUGGAACCGGUCUCACGUAAGCGUACGUGUAAGGUUGGUCCGGGCCGCUUCAUCCCACAAUACCGUUGAGCAAGAAAAGACUAGUAGGGGCAAGUAAGAUGACAAGAUCAACGCCCACAACAAAUUGUGUUCUACUCGUGCAAUAGAGAACUACGCAUAGACCUAGCUCAUGAUGCCACUGUUGGGGAACGUUGCAGAAAAUUAAAAUUUUUCCUACGGCUUCACCAAGAUCCAUCUAUGAGUUCAUCUAAGCAACGAGUAACGGGAGAGAGUUUGCAUCUACAUACCACUUGUAGAUCGCGUGCGGAAGCUUGCAAGGUGAUGAUGGAGUCGUACUCGAACGUGAUUCAGAUCACCGAUGUCCAAGUGCUGAACGGACAGCACCUCCGCGUUCAACACACGUACGGGACGAGCGACGUCUCCUCCUUCUUGAUCCAGCAAGGGGGAAGGAGAUGUUGAGGAAGACAGCUCCACCGGUAGCACGACGGCGUGGUGAUGAUGGAGAAGCAGUACUCCGACAGGGCUUCGCCGAGCUCUUACGGAGGAGGAGAUGUGUUGGGGAGGGGAGGGGCUGCGCCUUGGGAGUUGGUACAGCAGCCCCCCUCCCUCCCCCCCCUUAUAUAGGCCCCCUGGGGGGGUGGCCGGCCCCUGGAGAUCCAAUCUCCAGGGGGGGCAGCGGCCAAGGGGGGUGGAGUGCCCCCCAAGCCAGGUGGGGCGCCCCCCCCCCACCCCUAGGGUUUCAACCCUAGGCGCAGGGGGUGGGCCUAGGGGGGCGCACCAGCCCCCUGUGGGCUGGUUCCCUUCCCCCUUUGGCCCAUGGGGCCCUCCGGGAUAGGUGGCCCCACCCGGUGGACCCCCGGGACCCUUCCGGUGGUCCCGGUACUUUACCGGGAGACCCCGAAACUUUCCCGAUGGCCGAAUCACCACUUCCUAUAUAUUAUUCUUUACCUCCGGACCCUUCCGGAACUCCUCGUGACGUCCGGGAUCUCAUCCGGGACUCCGAACAACAUUCGGUAUUCACAUACUAGUCUUCCUACUAACCCUAGCGUCACCGAACCUUAAGUGUGUAGACCCUACGGGUUCGGGAGACACGCAGACAUGACCGAGACGACUCUCGGGCAAUAACCAACAGCGGGAUCUGGAUACCCAUGUUGGCUCCCACAUGCUCCUCGAUGAUUUCAUCGGUUGAACCACGAUGUCGAGGAUUCGAUCAAACCCUGUAUGCAAUUCCCUUUGUCAAUCGGUACGUUACUUGCCCGAGACUCGAUCGUCGGUAUCCCAAUACCUCGUUCAGUCUCGUUACCGGCAAGUCACUUUACUCGUACCGUAAUGCAUGAUCCCGUGGCCAACACCUUGGUCACUUUGAGCUCAUUAUGAUGAUGCAUUACCGAGUGGGCCCAGAGAUACCUCUCCGUCAUACGGAGUGACAAAUCCCAGUCUCGAUCCGUGUCAACCCAACAGAUACUUUCGGAGAUACCUGUAAUGCACCUUUAUAGUCACCCAGUUACGUUGUGACGUUUGAUACACCCAAGGCACUCCUACGGUAACCGGGAGUUACACGAUCUCAUGGUCGAAGGAAGAGAUACUUGACAUUGGCAAAGCUUCUAGCAAACGAACUAUACGAUCUUUUAUGCUAUGCUUAUGAUUGGGUCUUGUCCAUCACAUCAUUCUCCUAAUGAUGUGAUCCCGUUAUCAACGACAUCCAAUGUCCAUAGUCAGGAAACCAUGACCAUCUAUUGAUCACAACGGGCUAGUCAACUAGAGGCUCACUAGGGACAUAUUGGGGUCUAAGUGUUCACACGUGUAUUACGAUUUCCGAAUAACACAGUUAUAGCAUGAACAAAAGACAAUUAUCAUGAACAUUGAAAUAUAAUAAUACUUUUAUUAUUGCCUCUAGGGCAUAUUUCCAACAGAUACAAUCUCAUGUCAGUCUCAAUGCUUUGUGAUCUGGAUAUGGUUGUUGUCUUUGGCAAAUAUCGCUGUGUUGUGAUUAUGGAAGCUGACAAUUCCAAAGUCUUCGAAGGCUUUAGGAGAGGAGAUCUGUAUAUUGUUGAUUUCUCUACAGGACCACAACCAGCCAUGUGUCUACUUGCAAAAGCCUCAGAAGGCUGGCUAUGGCAUCGACGACUUGGUCAUGCAGGCAUGAGGAAUUUGAACACGCUUGCGAAGAAGAAGCAUGUCAUUGGCAUUGAGAAUGUCAAAUUCCUCAAGGAUCACUUAUGCGGAGCAUGUGAAGCCGGAAAAAUGACCAAGGCCAAGCAUCCAGCGAAGACUAUCAUGACCACUACUCGUCCAUUCGAAUUGCUUCACAUGGACCUCUUCGGACCUAAUCAUUAUUCAGCAGUCACUAAUGAUGCAUCUCUAUAUGGUUUUGUCAUUGUUGAUGAUUAUUCUCGAUAUACAUGGGUACACAUUGUUACUUACAAACAUGAAGUGCAGGAAGUCUUCAAACGAUUUUCCUCGAGGGCUUCAACCAACUUUGGUGUGAAGAUCAAGCAUAUCAGAAGUGACAAUGGAACUGAGUUCAAGAAUUCUGGUCUUGAUGCCUAUCUUGAUGAACUUGGUAUUACUCAUGAAUUAUCUGCUCCUUAUACUCCUCAGCAGAAUGGCGUCGUGGAGCGCAAGAACAGAACUCUUGUUGAGAUGGAUCGCACUAUGCUUGAUGAAUACAAAACGCCUCAGCGUUUUUGGAUUGAUGCAAUUGAUACUGCCUGCCACAUCAUCAACAGAGUAUAUCUUCACAAAUUCUUCAAGAAGACUGCAUAUGAACUCCUCACUGACAAGAAACCCAAUGUGAGUUAUUUCAAAGUCUUCGGUGCUAAAUGUUGGAUUAGAGAUCCUCACCACAACUCUAAAUUUGCACCGAAAGCACAUGAAGGUUUUAUGCUUGGUUACGGAAAGGACUCGCACACCUACAGAGUCUUCAACAUUGUUCUUCACAAGAUUGUUGACACUGUAGAUGUGCGGUUCGAUGAAACUAAUGGCUCGCAAAGAGAGCACCUACCUUCUGUGUUAGAUGAACCAGCACCUGAGGAUGCUAUCAAGCACAAGGCAACUGAGGAUGUCAUUCCUACUGAAGAAUCUGGUGAAGAAUUCAUUCCUGAUCAUGAAGAAGCUGAUGCACCUGAAGAACAUGAUGAGGAAAUUGGUGCUGAAGAAAAUGCUGAUCAAAAUCCUCAGCGACAACCAACUCAUCCACGCGUUGCAAAAGAAGUGCAAGUGGAGAAGAUCAUCGAUGACAUCAGCGCACCAGGUCCUCUCACCCGCUCAAAAGCCUCACACUUAUCUAACUUUUGUGGGCACUAUGCUUUUGUCUCUAUCUCAGAGCCCACUAAGGUAGAUGAAGCAUUUCUGGAGCCGGAGUGGAUUCAGGCUAUGCAAGAAGAAUUACAUCAGUUCGAGCUAAACAAUGUCUGGGAAUUGGUCAAUCGCCCAGAUCCUCGCAAGCAUAAUAUCAUUGGCACAAAGUGGAUCUACCGCAACAAGCAAGAUGAAAAUGGCCUCGUUGUGAGGAAUAAGGCACGACUAGUAGCUCAAGGCUACACACAGGUUGAAGGAAUUGAUUUCGAUGAAACUUUUGCACCUGUUGCUAGACUUGAAGCUAUUCGCAUUUUACUUGCCUAUGCUAACCAUCAUGAUAUCAUCUUAUAUCAAAUGGAUGUGAAAAGUGCAUUCCUCAAUGGUAAGCUUGAGGAAGAAGUAUAUGUUGCUCAACCCCCAGGUUUUGAAGAUCCCAAGAAUCCUAACAAAGUCUUCAGACUAAAUAAGGCUCUCUAUGGCCUUAAGCAAGCCCCUCGGGCGUGGUAUGACACUCUGAAGGAAUUCUUCGUGAAGAAUGGCUUCACACCUGGUUCACUUGACCCUACUCUAUUUACUAAAUCAUAUGAUGGUGAACUGUUUGUGUGCCAAAUAUAUGUUGAUGAUAUUAUCAUUGGCUGUACUAACCAACGAUAUAGUGAUGAAUUUGCCUAUAUGAUGAGUGAAGAAUAUCAAAUGUCUAUGAUGGGAGAGUUGAAAUUCUUCUUAGGUCUUCAAAUUCGUCAGCAACGCAAUGGCAUAUUCAUACCUCAGGAGAAAUACCUCAAAGAUGUACUGAGGAAAUUCGGCAUGCAAGAUUGCAAAGGCGUCAAAAUUCCUAUGCCCACAAAUGGUCAUCUAUGCACUGAUGAAAAUGGUACUGACUUCGAUCACAAGGUAUACCGCUCCAUGAUUGGUUCUUUAUUGUACCUAUGUGCAUCUAGGCCAGAUAUAAUGCUUAGUGUUUGCAUGUGUGCCCGAUUUCAAGCUGCACCGAAGGAAUCACACUAUAAGGCUGUGAAGCAUAUUCUUCGAUAUCUAGCUCACACACCAACACUAGGAUUAUGGUACCCCAAGGGCUCUGCUUUUGAUCUCAUUGGAUAUUCUGACUCUGACUAUGCUGGUGAUCGUGUGGACCGCAAGUCAACAUCUGGCACUUGUCAUUUCCUCGGAUGAUCUUUGGUCUGUUGGUCCUCGAAGAAACAGAAUUGUGUAUCACUGUCUACUGCUCAAGCUGAAUACAUUGCUGCUGGCUCAUGCUGUGCUCAACUGCUUUGGAUGAAGCAAACCCUCAAGGACUAUGGCGUCAACGUGAAGAAUGUGCCUCUCCUCUGCGACAAUGAGAGUGCCAUCAAGAUUGCACACAACCCAGUUCAGCACUCGAACACUAAGCACAUCCAGAUUCGUCAUCAUUUUCUUCGUGAUCAUGUGUUGAAGGGUGACAUCUCCAUCGAGCAUGUGAAGACUGAAGAACAGCUAGCUGAUAUCUUCACCAAGCCCUUGGAUGAGAAGAGAUUUAGCAAGUUGCGGUGUGAGCUAAAUAUCUUAGAAUCUUCGAAUGUUCUUUGAAAAGGACACACAUCCUAACCCUUAUGCAUAAUUGAUGACUUAGAUGUUCAACACAUGAAGAAACGUUGUUCCUCAAUCAAUGAAGAAUAACACUCUAAGUGUGAAGAAAUCAAUGAAGAAUUUGAUUCUCAGAACCCUACGACAAUUGUACGCGGUGUCUGAAAUCAUCAUUCUUAUACGGUGGGCUACGCCACCACAAAAGUUGAAAAACUUCAAUCUGAGUUUUUUUUAUUAUUUUUUUUAAUUCCUUAGUUUUUCAAAUUCUUCAACUUUGCAAAAUCUUCAGCAUUUCCGUCGUCUUUCUUCAUUGGCUAUAUAUAUAUAUAUAAGUUUAUGUCAUCUACAUCAUUCACUUAUUGCUAAUUCUUCAAGUUGCGAUUUCUGCUAAGUGAAUGUGAUCGGACCCUUCCCCUCUGUGCUAUACUCGACCCAAUCUAUUCACAAAUUCUUCAUGUGCGUUCUGAUUGAAACUCGUUCAAAGUCUUCACUGGUCCUUGACAGCUGAAGAAAUUGCGAACGAAACUUUUAAACAAAUCUUAUCCAAGUUUCGGUUUUACCACUCAAACCGUUCCGCAUCCCACGAUGUAUUAGUUUAAUCACCCAUGAUCUUAGACGAUCUUAUCUGCACAGUACGUGGGUGACACACGUCGCGUGAAGGAGAAAGGGCAGGGGCAUGUUCGUCCAAAAUCUUCGGGCGAACAGUUUUUUUCACCGUGGCUAUAAAUACCCCCUUUACCCUCCUCACUUCAUUUACUCCGCUCGAUCGCUGUCUCUCGCUCGAGCUCUCCACUCAAACCCUAGCGCCGCCGCUACUCCAUCGCCGCCGGUGAGGAAAAGCUUCACUGCCUCGACCUCAUCGCCGUCGUACUCGCGCCGGUCGCGGAAAUCUUCACUCCGCCGCCGCCGUAGCUGUCUUCCUCUGCCAAGUUAGGGCGUGGGAGAUCUAACGUGACGAACUUCUCUACAGUUCAUCUCUGUUCGUCGUGUUCCUCAGUUCGGGUAAUUAAAAAUCACUUUUAUUACUCGCGUUGAUUCUCAAAUCUUUCUGAAAAUCUUCAAAGGUGUUUUUACUCUUCAAAAUCUUCACAUAUGAACACCUCACACACUAUAUGUUCUUGAUUUAUCUCCCUAAGCAUUCAUUUCUUCAAGAUUCCUCAAUUGUGCGGAUUUUCGAUCUGUACAACUCUGGAACCUAAGACAAAACGCUUAGUGAAAUUCCUCAAGGCUCAACUGGUCAAAUUCCUCAAAACUUGCUUCUUUUGAAAAAUCUUCUGAGAACGCAUAUGACCUCUCCAAAUUCCUCGCACCUACACUCUGUUCACAGGUACUCAUGUCCGCUGCUGAAUCACUAGGUUCUCAUCAACUUAACUCAUUUGUAGCGUUCCUUGAAGAAAAACUGCAUACUUCUUCAGAGUGCUCUAUUGUUCAAAUUCCUCACCUGAAGAAAAUGGCAGAAGGCAAGAGACCACAGAAGGGAGGAAAGAAACCGGAAAUCAUGACUGCUUUUGAAAUUUCUGAGGAAAUAUACAAAGACUACUGCACACCUGAUGAAUCCAAAUUUGGCAAGGAGACCAAGAACCAGCGCAAAGUACGCAUACAGAGAAUAGAAAGAAGAAGGGCACGAGAAUGGCGAGAAUACCGCUAUGUCACUCCUAAGUACAUGAGGAAAUUCGCUUUGAAUCCUCCAUGCCCAAGAGCUCCUCUGGCACCUGGCCAAGUCGCUGAUCCCACCAGCGUCAAACGUGGUGAAGACUUUCCUGAAGAAUGGUCCAGGCGCCAAGCCAAAUUGGCAAGACAGGCCAAGGAGGCAGUGAGGAAAUUCAAUGAGGAUACUGCUGCUGCUGCUGCUGAGCCCUCGGUCAAACCGAGGAAAUCAAUGCCAAAGAAGCCUACACGCAAGCCAAGUGCUUCACCGUCAGCGCCCUCACGACCCAGUUCCUUAGCCGCGCCCUCACGGCAAAUUCCUCAGACUGCUGCUGCUCAUGCAAAAUCAUCAGCAGCUCCCUCCAAGUCCUCAACACCUGUGCAUCUUGCAACUUGUCAAAGGACUCAAGGAUUUUCCAUUGCUUCUGGUGUUUCAGCAAGUUCCUCAGCUGCACCAAUGUCCUCAACAGGUCCCACUCUGCUGAAGACAAAAGCAACUGCUGGACGCGGUCCUCGGCCAAGUCCAAAGAAGAAACAGGUUGCAUUCAACGUUCCCUCUGAUGAUGAAGCCUCUGAUGAAGAACUUGAAGAAAUCAUCAGAGACAGACUGACCAAGGCCGCUAGAGCCAAAGGAACAAGUGUACCUCUGCUUUUGGAUCCGAAGAAGAUCCUAGACUUCAUUGACCUGUGGCAUCAGGAUCCACACACUCCUCUUCCGGAUCUGCCACUGACCCCUGGUCAAAGUCACAUGCUGAACCAUUUCAUCUCUGAAGAAAAAUGGAAAUUUGAAAAGGCUCGUGAAUUGAAGAGAGCAAAAGCAAGAAAAGAGAAGCUUCUGAGGAAAAACAUCAUCAACUUGUCUCCUGAAGAACUUCUUAAAGCUCAAUCAGAAAUCCAAGCACUCAGCAAGGAUUUUGAUGCUUACAAUUCUGACUGGCAAGGAGCCAAGGUGAGAUUCGUCACUCUGACGAAGAAAAUGUCAACUGUUGCAGCUCCAUCGCAACAAGAAAAUCCUCAGGCUGAAGAAUCUGCUCAGCCUGCUGAAGAACAUGCCAGCACUGCUGAUGACUUUUAGUGUGCUGAUGAAAACACAAGUUCCAGGGCUGAUGACUCCAUUCCAGCUGCUGAAGAAAUUCCCAGGGCAUCCACUAGUGGUGCGCCUGAAGAAUCUGAAGGAAACAGGGCAACUGCACCAGUUGUGCCUGAAGAAACUGUACAAUAAUCCUCAGCUCCUCCUGCGCCAACACCAUCUCCAAUUCUUCCUUCUGCCUAUGAAGUGAAGAAGACAAAGGCUGCAGAACGAGCUGCAGUGAAGAAAAGGAAGGCAUCAGCUGCGUCAAAUUCUUCGGCUGCGAAGAAAUUGAAGCCAAUGACCAGCUCUAUUGAAAAUCCUAUUGAUGCCAUUCCCAUUUCCUCCAUGUCAUCCAAGGAAAUUGUUCCCUUUGGAGAAGAAUACACGAUCCCUAGCGGAUCAGAUGAAGAAAAUCAAUCUGUUGCCACUUCAGAACAGCUUGAUGAAGAAAUUGAAGUGGAAGCUUUCCCUUCAACUCCUGUUGCUUCCUCACCCGUGCCUUAGUUCACAGCUGAAGAGGCAGGUGUUGAGGAAAUUGAAAAAGAAGAUGAAGAUGUGGAUAUUGGGAGCACUACACCUGUAAUGAACGAUGACUUUUGGGAAAGUCAGCACCCCAAUACUCCUCUCUUCACUCCGCUUCAACAAGUUCCUCAGUCACCAACAACUACUGUUCAAAUGGGCUCUGCAGAAACUCAUCCCACAUCAUCUGUCAACGAAGAGAUUCCAGCCACUAGCGCUGAAGAACCCACUGCUGAUCCUCAAACUACACAAGGAGAGGAACCAGAAAUUCCUCAGCCUGAUGAACCUGAGCUCGUGAUUCCAGAGGUUGUGCUGCAAAUCACUGAUAUUCCUCUGCCCAAGCCAAAGAAUCCUUUCUCAAGCAAGCAGAAAUUCAAGGCUGAAGAUUUCUUUUCUGAGCAUGUGUUCUUCACUGCCUACAAUCCUUAUGACUCUGCUCGAAUGAGGAAAAGACGCUUCUGGACUCCAACUCAAGCAAACUUCUAUUCCUCAGUGCUAUUUAACAAAGACAAGAUCUUCGACCAUGAGCAUAUUCCUCAUGUGGAUAUGGAAUCACUACCAUGCUUCGAGCCAGUACUCCGUGUUCUUCACGAUGCAGGGCUGCUGAAUUUCUGCACUGAUAUAUGUGACUGGAAUGAAGAACUCAUUCUUCAGUUCUAUGCCACCCUGCACAUCACCGGAGAUGCUGAAGACAUCAACUCAUGGGUUCUGGAUUGGAUGACUGAGAAUACUCACUACAAGGCACCAGCAACUGAAUUGCUUCGUGUCCUUCCUCUUGAUCCUCCCCAUGAAUCUGCUCGUUGCCUCUACAAUGACCGUGAACUGUCUGAUCACUUCAUGCAAGUACUUAUGAAGCCAUUGAAGCCAGGCCAAGCCCCUCGAACCAAAUUCCUCGUCAAGGAUUUGCUGUAUGUGCCUCGGACUGUGUAUAGAAUCUUGACGAAGACAAUGAGUCCAAUCAAAGGCCACGACUCAAAUGACGAAGAUGUCAUUGGCAUCAUGAAGAACAUGCUUUUCAAUAUCAUUCAUGGCGUUCCUGUCAACUUCCAUGAUUUCUUCAUGAGGACUCUGGCCAAUAUUGCAAUGUCACCUUUUGAGCUGAAGCCAUAUGCACCUUGGAUCAUGAGAUUCAUAAGGGCAAGAUCUUCACUGAACUACAAGGCUGACACUCUGAAUCAUGGCAGUUUCCUGCCGCCCAUUGAAGUCCUCAAGCGACCAAUUUCAUCAUCUGAUGACAAGGGCAAGGCAGCUGCUGUAAUUGAUGAAGGCACUCGUCCAUUGGAUGGUCAGUUUCGCAAAGCUGCAUCUUACUCCACCAAUGACGACUCUGCUACGCAUGAUACUGCCGCAAAUACCUCAACCAAGCAACAACCUCAAGCCACAGCACCCAGGGUGAUGACUGAUCGUGAGUUACUCCUCAGUCUUCAUCAGAAGGUUGAUCGCAAUCAGAAAUGGGUCAAGCGCCAAUUUGCUGCAAUUCUUCAUAAUAUGACCUCAACGCAUAAUGCUGUGAAGAAAAACCAGUACUACCUUCAUGAAACCCUCAACCGCACCUGGGCUGUUCUGAAUCAUGUCUAUUCCGCGGAAGAAUUGAAGACUAUGGGUCUUCAGGAAUCUUAUGACUGGUCUGCACCACCUCCGAAGAAAUUCAAGAGAGUCAAAGUUCCUGAUUUGGUGGCCAGUUCUUAUUCUUCAUCGCGUGAAACUGAUGAAUAUGAAGAUUUAGACGACACUGCGGUAGGCCCUACUUCAACAACCAACCCCGACAAUGCUGGCGCUCCUCCAUCGACUUGAAUAUCUUCAGGGGUGUUAGUCCUUAGUUUCGAUCCUUUUGGUCAUUUGAUGACAAAGGGGGAGAAAUCUGAGUUAGUCUUCAAGCGGGUUUAUACUAUGGGCGUUUUUAUUAAGUUACAACUCUCGUUCUUCCGAAACUUUUAUUGGAUCGAGUUGUAAUCUUAAAUCCGAUGGUGCCCUGAUACUUUUGAUCGUGCAUUGUGCUGACUUUGCACUGUGCUCUGAUACUUUUUUUGAGAGAUGUGCUCUGAUACUCUUGAUCGUGCUUCUGAUGCUCUGAUUUUGAUAUGUGUUAUGCUCUGAUGCUUUUGAAGCACUAAGCUCUGAAUGUGAUAUUUGAGCUCUGAAACUGUUGAUGUGAUACUCCGCAUGCUCAUUCCUAGUCAAUACUAUUGCAUGCAUGCUGAAUCUCAUCAGGCACCAUAUUUCAUCAUGCAUUUCAAUUCUUCAUAGUAUAUAUAUCAAAUGCGUGUAUGAAUUACAAGAUAUAGGGGGAGUUCUCCAUCAUUUAAUUCUUCAAAUGUGCACUGCCUCAAAAGCAAAUUCCUCAUUAUGCACAUAUUUAGGGGGAGUUCUUCUAUAUCUUGCAAUCAAAUUCCUCAAUAUCAGUAUUUACACUUCAUAUGUUUAUCCCCGUUGAAAACUUAACCUAUGUUGUCAUCAAUCACCAAAAAGGGGGAGAUUGUAAGUGCAUCUAGUGCCCCUUAGUGAUUUUGGUGUAUUGAAGACUUAUAGGUUAAGUAACUGAUGCGUUUGUGAGUGUACACAGGUCUAUAAGUCUAUGAGGGGUUUGAUAUUUACAGAGAAAGUCGACCCCUAAAAAUGAAGUUCUUCGACUGAAGACUUUGAUAUUCUGAAGACUUUCUGAAGACUUUGAAAGUGAAGAAAUUGGUGUGACCAUGAAGACUUGAUAUUCAUUCGAGGAAUAUGAAGCGUGAAGACUUUUGUUUUCGUAGUUUCAUUUUCUCUUUCUUGAGUCAUAGGAAACACCGUACUGUUAAAGGGGGUCGAGGAAAUACUAAGGAAAAAUUUCCGUGUGAUGCUCAACUCAAAAUCCUACACCUACCAAUCCCUUCGAGUGAAGCCAUUGGAAAUCUCAUACAGUUCAGUCAAAUUCUUCAGUGACAGAGACGCAGUUCUUCUGGUCACUGAUGACUUUGCUCUGACUGAGGAGUUAGGAAUUCGCCAGUGCGAAUUGCCUACACAGUGAGGAACAUGAUAGCCCUGAGGACUUUGAAAGUCAAAUUUCCGACCGUUGCUGUGCUGCGCGCCGGCGGACCAAAAUAUCUUAUCCACCUAACGGUCAUAUCAUUGAAGGGCAUUUAUGUCUUAUCAUGUCGGGCUGCUCCCUAGGCUAUAAAUAGCCGCCCCCUACAACCACUAGUUGGUUGGCUGCUCCGAGAGAACUUGACACUUGUCAUUUGAGAGCAACCCAUCCUCCGAGGACUUUGAGCGAAAAUCAUCAAGUGAGGAAAAUCCAAAACCAAAGCCCCACAAAAACCCCAAGUGAUUGAGCAUCACUGAAGAAAUUGAUCCUGCGUGGAUCCGACGCUUGUUACCUUUGAAGACUGUGCUUCUUCCAGACGGUUAGGCGUCAAGGUCUAGAGCAUCCAAGAGGAAUUGUGGAUCGCCGAGUGACCAAGUCUGUGAAGGUUUGGAAGUCACCUGAAGACUUACCACGAGUGAUUGGACGAGGCCUGCGUGGUCUUAGUUCAAGGAGAAUACGGUGAGGACUGGGUGUCCUGAGUUGCGGCUCAGAGACUGGGUGUCCGGGACUGUGUGUCCUCGAGUUUAAAUACUCAGCCGCUCCAACCAGACGUACAACUGAGACAGCAGUUGGAACUGGUCUACCAAAUCAUUGUCUUCACCAACUGACUGGUUCUAUUUCCUCAACUCAUUCAUUUCCUCAUUCUGUGUUGCAUGUUGUUCAUAUCUGUGCUUGAAGACUUUGACUGAAGACUUUCACAAAUUCCUCAGUUCAAUUUCUUCAGUCUGUUUGUCUUCAUCUUGUUAUCCUGUGUUUACGCUUCCUGUACUCUGUUCUAGUCUUCAUUUCAUCAUGCUGACUAUGUGUGUAAUCGGUUAUGUUUACCUCUGAGUACUUAUUCCGCUGCAAAUAGUUCUUCGCUAAGGAAUUUCCUCACCGGCAAAUUCCUCAGUGAAGAAUUUCAUAAAAAUCGCCUAUUCACCCCCCCUCUAGUCGAUAUAACGCACUUUCAGGGACGAAGAGUCAAUCGACUAAAAACGGAAUUAAGAGAGUGGUACCAGGUUUUGAGGUUGCGGCAUCCUCCAUCUCAUGGUCGUCAGCCCUGGCUGAGGUCUCGGAAGUAGCAGCUCUACAAUUCCAAAAAAUCAGUCGACUAACUCCAGUGUCAAUCAAAGAUAAAACUCGCACAAGACAAGUAUACUCAAUCAGCAUGUUUACCCUGAUAUGGUGGGGAUGGACACCUUCAUCUUCGGCAGGACCUUGGUUGGCUUCGACGGUGCCACCCUGGACUGCUUCGGAGCCUUUUCAGUCGGCACCGGAGAGGUGGUCCGAGGGCGCUUGGUCGACUGCGCGACAGUCGCGACCCCCUUGCCACGUUCAGUCGUAGGGUCAUGGGCAAGCUUCGACCGCCUUUCUGAGCGCGGUGGUGCGACCUCAUCCUCCUCCUCUUCUUCCUCCUCCUCCUCGUCAUCAUCAUCAUCAUCAUCCUCAGCAGCAUCCGAGUCCCACUCCUCCUGGCUUUCGCCCCCACUCGCCUCUCCUUCUUCAGGCGGAGUUUGCGCUCCAUUGGGCAUUGAGUACAGGUCGGUGAGGACCUGUCGGACAUCAAGACAAAGAUCAAUCGACCAAUUUGCGGAGAAAACAGAAAUAAAUGUAGCAAGAAUACAAUUGGGGGUAAAAUGAGCAUACCUUGUCUGGAGUGCUGGAGUCGUCGAGUGGAGGAAUUCUCCUAGCUCCACGAGGGUUAUCUUUGUUCCCAGUGACCGCAGCCAACCACCUUUCCAGCGUGGCAUCGUCGACUGCUUCUGGAUUGAUCCGAGUCUCAUCUUCGGUCCCGCAGUACAGCCACAUGCAAUGGCCUCUGUACUGGAGAGGCUGGAUACGGCGUCUAAGGAAAACCUCCAGGAGAUCCAUGCCCGUCACUCCUUCCCGAACCAACCGAACUACGCGCUCCAUUAGCAUCUUCACAUCAGCUUUCUCCUCCGGGAGCACCUUCAGGGAAGAAGGUUUGUUGGCGUAGUCCAUGGUAAACGGAGGGAGACCACUCGACUGCCCCGGCGUCGACUCGUUCUUGCAGUAAAACCAAGUCGACUGCCAGCCCCUGACCGACUCAGGGAGGGUCAUCGCUGGGAAGGUGCUCUUGUUCCUCAUCUGGAUUCCCAGACCUCCACACAUCUGAAUAAUCUUGGUUUUAUCAUCAUCUGGACUCGCCUUCUUCACAGUCUGAGAGCGGCACGUGAAUAUAUGCUUGAACAGACCCCAGUGCGGUCGGCAACCCAGAAAGUUUUCACACAUGGAUACAAAGGCAGCAAGAUAGGCGAUAUAAUUCGGGUUGAAGUGGUGGAGUUUCACUCCGAAGAAAUUCAGGAAACCACGGAAGAAAACACUCGGUGGCAAAGAAAACCCUCGGUCGACGUGGGUAGCCAGAAGAACACACUCACCCUCUUCCGGCUGGGGAUGCCACUCGUUCCCCGGGAGCCUUGCUGCUCCGUGGGGGAUCAGACCGUCGUUGGCCAUGUCGGUGAGGUCAUUCUCCGUAAUGGUCGAACGGAUCCAAUCUCCUUGGACCCAGCCGUUUGGCAGGCGAGAUCUAGACGAAGACCCGCCGCGACUGGUGGUUCUCCCCUUCGCCUUCCCCGUCGCCGACGCCUUCUUUGCGCGUUCCAGCGCCGCCGCCUUCUCCUUCACCAUGGCUGCCGGCGAGGCGCGCAAGGAGCGGUUGUGCGGAGGCGAGAGCGGGCGCAGUGGGCAGAGGCAGGGAGAGCAGAGAGAGAAUGCAGAGGUACUGUUCAAGGACCCUCGCCGGGCGCCUUUAUAAGUUCACUUCCGAGUGGAUGGCAGGUGGGCCCGAGCGAUCCAAUCACAUCCCAAAACAGUCGCGCGGGCGCGAUACGUGGCGAAAAAGGUGGCGCAAGAAUCGAGGCGUCUAUGCCCUAUCCCAUCCGAACGCCGUGGUCCGCCCCGCUUCACGCGCUUCCCCAAAUUUCAUAUCCCACAAAAUCCGCGAACGGCAGAUCGAUCUGUCAGGCGCGAGAUCUCCCGCGAUCCGUCGCUCGGGAAUUGUUAAGUCCAAAAAGUCACUCGACGAAAGAAAAGAAUGGAUCGAGUCGACUGAAGAAAGUUGCUGGUUAUCAACAAAGAGAUUACUGAUCCAAGACAAUGCAUACCCAGCACGCAAAGGCAUGUCGGAAAUAACAUCAACUCCUUCCUCACUCAAGCCUCAAUCCAUUCGGGGGCUAAUGAUGGAGUCAUGUACCUAGGGUAGGGUCAUAGACCUGAUCUAAGUACCCUACCCAAGGACACCAUUAUUAUAAGAGACUACCUUCCAGUCGACCAAGGAGGACACCACUCGACAGACUCGAAGGACUCGACCACGAAGACGCACUCGACUACCAGAAGGUCAAGAAGCACUCUGUACUGCAACGGUCUGUAAUUAAGUAGACUUUAUGAUAGUUAAGACACUUUAUGUGGGACGUUACCAGUAACGCCCCAGACUUAAUGUACUUUAAACCCCGCAUUACUGAGGGCCGGAGGGGUCUGACAGGCACUAUAUAAGCCACCCCCACCUCAGUGUAAAGGGUUGGCACCCCUGUAAUCCAUACUCAUAUAAUCCACUCGACCGCCUCCGGGCUCCGAGACGUAGGGCUUUUACUUCCUCCGAGAAGGGCCUGAACUCGUACAUCUCUUGUGUUUACAACCUCUCCAUAGCUAGGACCUUGCCUCUCCAUACCUACCCCCCACUCUACUGUCAGACUUAGAACCACGACAGUGACCCUGGGUUAUCAAACCCACAAGAGGAAGAUUUCCUUGAAGCGAUAGUCUCUAGCAAACUUAUAUUAAAGUAUCAAUUCCAACUCAAGCAAGCUAAUAGUGUUUCAAACACUUAUAAUAAAAUGAUGUAUGAGUAUGAGAUCUUAAUGCUUGCAGCCAUGUAUUUGUGUUGGGACCAAAUAUGAUAUUAAUUUAUGAGCCGAAAGUCACCCAUCGAGAUGUGCUUAUUACGAAUCGAAGUGGGGAAUGUGUCCAAAUAACAUCUUGACCGGCACGAAUCCUGCAUGAAGAAUCAGUUGUCCUACCACAGGCCGUAUCCAUCGCGUGGGGUUGUUGGGGAACGUAGUAAUUUCAAAAAAUUUCCUACGCACACGCAAGAUCAUGGUGAUGUAUAGCAACGAGAGGGGAGAGUGUUGUCUACGUACCCUCGUAGACCCGAAGCGGAAGCGAUCACAACGUAGAGGAAGUAGUCGUACGUUCUCCUCGCGAUCCGACCGAUCCCGGCGCCGUUACUCCGGCGCCCCCGAGUUCUUGACACACGUACAGCUCGAUGACGUCCCUCGUACUCCGAUCUAGCCGAGUGUCGAGGGAGAGUUUCGUCAGCACGACGGCGUGGUGACGAUCUUGAUGUUUUACCGGCGCAGGGCUUCGCCUAAGCUUCGCGACGAUAUGACCGAGGUGGAAUAUGGUGGAGGGGGGCACCGCACACGGCUAAGGAACGAUCCGUAGAUCAAACUUGUGUCUCCAUGGGGUGCCCCCUGCGCCCGUAUAUAAAGGAGGGAGGGGGGAGGUGCGGCCGGCCUAGAGGAGGCGCGCCGGAGGAGUCCUACUCCCACCGGGAGUAGGACUCCCCCCCUUUCCUAGUUGGAGUAGGAUUGGGGGAGGGGGAAGAGGAAAAGGGGGGGCGCCGCCCCCCCCCCCCUCCUUGUCCUAUUCGGACUAGGGGGGGAGGGGCGCGCGGCCUGCCCUGGCCGGCCCCUCCUCUUCUCUCUCGAGGCCCACUAAGGCCCAUUUAGUUCCCGGGGGGUUCCGGUAACCUCCCGGUACUCCGGUAAAUUCCCGAUUUCACCCGGAACCAUUCCGGACUCCAAAUAUAGGCUUCCAAUAUAUCAAUCUUUAUGUCUCGACCAUUUCGAGACUCCUCGUCAUGUCCGUGAUCACAUCCGGGACUCCGAACUUCUUCGGUACAUCAAAAUACAUAAACUCAUAAUAACUGUCAUCGAAACCUUAAGCGUGCGGACCCUACGGUUCGAGAACAAUGUAGACAUGACCGAGACACGUCUCCGGUCAAUAACCAACAGCGGGACCUGGAUGCCCAUAUUGGUUCCUACAUAUUCUACGAAGAUCUUUAUCGGUCUGACCGCAUAACAACAUACGUUGUUCCCUUUGUCGUCGGUAUGUUACUUGCCCGAGAUUCGAUCGUCGGUAUCCAAUACCUAGUUCAAUCUCGUUACCGGCAAGUCUCUUUACUCGUUCCGUAAUACAUCAUCUCACAGCUAACUCAUUAGUUGUAUUGCUUGCAAGGCUUCAGUGAUGUGUAUUACCGAGAGGGCCCAGAGAUACCUCUCCGACAAUCGGAGUGACAAAACCUAAUCUCGAAAUACGCCAACCCAACAUCUGCCUUUGGAGACACCUGUAGUACUCCUUUAUAAUCACCCAGUUAUGUUGUGACGUUUGGUAGUACCCAAAGUGUUCCUCCGGUAAACGGGAGUUGCAUAAUCUCAUAGUUACAGGAACAUGUAUAAGUCAUGGAUAAAAGCAGUAGCAACAUACUAAACGAUCGAGUGCUAAGCUAAUGGAAUGGGUCAUGUCAAUCAGAUCAUUCUACUAAUGAUGUGACCUUGUUAGUCAAAUAACAACUCUUUGUUCAUGGUUAGGAAACAUAACCAUCUUUGAUUAACAAGCUAGUCUAGUAGAGGCAUACUAGUGACAUGUUGUUUGUUUAUGCAUUCACACAUGUAUCAUGUUUCCGGUUAAUACAAUUCUAGCAUGAAUGAUAAACAUUUAUCAUGAAAUAAGGAAAUAAAUAAUAACUUUAUUAUUGCCUCUAGGGCAUAUUUCCUUCAGUCUCCCACUUGCACUAGAGUCAAUAAUCUAGAUUACAUAGUAAUGAUUCUAACACCCAUGGAGUCUUGGUGCUGAUCAUGUUUUGCUCGUGGAAGAGGCUUAGUCAACGGGUCUGCAACAUUCAGAUCCGUAUGUAUCUUGCAUAUCUCUAUGUCUCCCACCUGGACUAAGUCCCGGAUGGAAUUGAAGCGUCUCUUGAUGUGCUUGGUCCUCUUGUGAAAUCUGGAUUCCUUCGCUAAGGCAAUUGCUCCAGUAUUGUCACAGAAGAUUUUCAUUGGACCCGAUGCACUAGGUAUGACACCUAGAUCGGAUAUGAACUCCUUCAUCCAGACUCCUUCAUUAGCUGCUUCCGAAGCUGCUAUGUACUCCGCUUCACAUGUAGAUCCCGCUACGACGCUUUGUUUAGAACUGCACCAACUGACAGCCCCUCCGUUUAGUGUAAAUACGUAUCCGGUCUGCGAUUUAG